rnacentral:lncRNA from 1 species
UUUGGAAAAGGUUCAAAACAUGCUUAGUAAGAGCGAUGAUAUGUUGGGUGAAGAAAUGGAUCAGUCAAAAGCUUUGGCUGAAAGUCUUCAGAGACUUCAUACUAAGUAUGACACCCUUCAAGAUCAACAUAACACUCUCUUAUCUGAUCAUGAGAAGCUUUCUUAUGAAUUUCUUCAAAGAAAGCAAGAUCUUGAGAAGCUAAAAGUGAGUUAUGAAGAUCUUCAGAAGGAGCGCGAUUCAUUACUUGCUCAACAAAUCAGCGCUGCUCAGGAAGAAUUUGUUCCUCCAUGUUUGAAAUGCAUUGAACGUGAAUCUGCUAAUUCUUCACCUGAAUGUUCAAAUGCUUCUAAUGCUACAAAUUCCUCAACUGUCUUUGCUAUGCUAGUAUCACUAACGAUGCAGGGCUGAAGGAAUUGUACAUGGCAGGCAUGUACAAAAGCCUCAAAGGGCAUCAGACUCUUUGUGAUGUGCUUAAAAAGCAGAUCCUCAACAGGAACCCUAGGAAAGAGGGUAUUGCCUUUGAGAGGAAACUCAAUGCUGAUGGUACAUAUUGGAAGCCUGAGCAGUACCCCAAAACCUCAUGGGUUGCUGCAAAGGGACCUCCAGUUGAUCCAUCUAAUUUAUCUGGCUUUACAUGUGAAUCUUCUCAUUCUUCUGAUGAGUCAUUUGACUCCAACUACAAACUGUUUAAAACUCAGAAUGGUGAAGUAUUUGCUAGAUAUGUUGGCACUAACUGCAGGAACGGUUCCCCUAUGAAGAAAAUCUGGGUUCCCAAAAGGUGCCUUGAAAGUCUUCCGGUGAAUGUCCUCAUGACACCACCUGUGAAGAAUAGGAACCCCAGAUCAAAUUCUUCAUAUGGACCAAAUUCUUCAUAUGGAUCCAAGUCCUCAUACGGACCAAAAUCCUCACAUGGAUCAUAUUCCUCAAGAGGAUCAAAGUCCUCAUAUGAACAUCAUCAUGCUAACAACUCUGUUUCGCAGGGAAGAGCCAAGGGCUAUGAAUAUGAGCAUUAUUCUUCUAAUCAUUAUGUUCAUAAGUCCUCAAAGAAUUUCUCUGCUUAUUCAUAUGUUUACCCUAACUUCUCUUCUGUGAAACGAAACGGAUUGGCUUCUAUGCCACCUUUCUCAUAUGGAGCUCGCAGAGUGAUGAACUCUUUGCCACCCCUUCAGAUGUGGGUGGUGAAGAAAAAGAACUAAUCUCUUCUGCAGGGUCAGGUCUCCAGACGUGCGUGAACGUUUGAAGAAUUUGCUGGAGACCUGAAGAAUGCCUGAAAGGACGCAGGCUAAUCAUGAAGAAAUGAACUUUCAUUUCUCACGUCCUCAUACUGUUUUAACUGUUGCAUUGCUUGAUGAAAUUGGUCUGAUGAAUUGUGAUGUCAUAUUCUUCACUGAUGAAGUAUAUGAAGUUCAUAAGCAGCACUAAUUCAUCUGCAGGAUGAUCAACCCAAAGCCACUGAGUGGGUCCUCGAUAGUGGAUGUACAAAUCACAUGACUGGUGACAAGAAUCUAUUGAUUGAUGCUCCCUUAUCACCAUCACAUCUGAAGCAUAUCAUCUUCGCUGGCAAAGGCAAAAGUCAGGUAUUGGGUCUAGGUAAGGUUGCAAUCACAAAGGAUCGACACAUGGACACAGUCAUGCUUGUCGAGUCCUUAGGAUACAACCUCAUGUCUGUCUCAAUGCUUUGCGAUCUUGAUAUGGUAGUUGUCUUUGGCAAGUAUCAUUGUGUUGUGGUUAUGGAAGCUGACAAUUCCAAAGUCUUCGAAGGCUUUAGGAGAGGAGACUUGUAUAUUGUUGAUUUCUCUACAGGACCGCAACCGGCCGUGUGCCUACUCGCAAAAGCUUCAGAAGGUUGGCUAUGACAUCGUCGACUUGGUCAUGCAGGCAUGAGGAAUUUGCACAUGCUUGCGAAGAAGAAGCAUGUCAUUGGCAUUGAGAAUGUCAAAUUUCUCAAGGAUCACUUGUGUGGAGCUUGUGAAGCUGGAAAGAUGACCAAGGCUAAGCUUCCAGCGAAGACUAUCAUGACCACUACUCGACCAUUCGAAUUGCUUCGCAUGGACCUCUUUGGUCCUAACCAUUACUCAGCUGUCACAAAUGACGCAUCUCUCUAUGGGCUUGUUAUUGUUGAUGAUUACUCUCGUUACACAUGGGUACACAUUGUUACUUACAAACAUGAAGUGCAGGAAGUCUUCAAAUGAUUUUCCUUGAGGGCUUCAACCAACUUUGGUGUGAAGAUCAAGCACAUCAGAAGUGACAAUGGUACUGAGUUCAAGAAUUCUGGUCUUGAUGACUAUCUUGAUGAACUUGGUAUUACUCAUGAGUUAUCUGCUCCUUAUAUUCCUCAGCAGAAUGGCGUCGUGGAGCGCAAGAACAGAACUCUUGUUGAGAUGGCUUGCAUUAUGCUUGACGAGUACAAGAUGCCUCGUCACUUCUGGAUUGAGGCAAUUUAUACUGCGUGCCACAUCAUCAACAGGGUAUAUCUUCACAAAUUCUUUAAGAAGGCUGCCUAUGAACUCCUCACUGACAAGAAACCCAAUGUGAGUUAUUUCAAAGUCUUCGGUGCCAAAAGUUGGAUUAGAGAUCCUCAUCACAAUGCUAAAUUUGCACCGAAAGCACAUGAAGGUUUUAUGCUUGGUUACGGAAAGGACUCGCACACCUACAGAGUCUUCAACACCGUUCUUCACAAGGUUGUUGAAACUGUAGAUGUGCGGUUCGAUGAAACUAAUGGCUCGCAAAGAGAGCACCUACCCUCUGUGAUAGAUGAACCAGCACCUGAGGAAACUAUCAAAUUCAAGGCUACUAAGGAUGUCAUUCCUACCGAAGAAUCUGCUGAAGAAUUCAUUCCAGAACGUGAAGAACGUCGAGCUAAUGCACCUGAAGAAAUUGCUGAAGAAAAUGCUGAUCAAAUUCCUCGAAGACAACCUACUCAUCCUCGCGUUGCAAAAGAAGUGCAAGUUGAGAAGAUCAUCGAUGACAUUGAAGCACCAGGUCCUCUCACACGCUCAAAAGCUUCACAUUUAUCUAACUUUUGUGGGCACUAUGCUUUUGUCUCUAUCACAGAGCCCACUAAGGUAGAUGAAGCAUUUCUAGAGCCGGAGUGGAUUCAGGCCAUGCAAGAAGAAUUACAUCAGUUCGAGCUCAACAACGUUUGGGAACUGGUCAAUCAUCCAGAUCCUGGCAAACACAAUAUCAUUGGCACAAAGUGGAUCUACCACAACAAGCAAGAUGAAAAUGGCCUUGUGGUGAGGAAUAAGGCACGGCUUGUAGCUCAAGGCUACACACAGGUUGAAGGAAUUGAUUUCGAUGAAACUUUUGCACCUGUUGCUAGACUUGAAGCUAUUCGCAUAUUACUUGCUUAUGCUAACCAUCAUGAUAUCACUUUGUAUCAAAUGGAUGUGAAAAGUGCAUUCCUCAAUGACUAAAUAAGGCCCUCUAUGGCCUCAAGCAGGCCCCUCGGGCGUGGUAUGAUACUUUGAAGGAAUUCCUCAUGAAGAAAGGCUUCAAACCCGGUUCACUCGACCCUACUCUUUUCACUAAAUCAUAUGAUGAUGAAUUGUUUGUAUGCCAAAUAUAUGUUGAUGAUAUCAUCUUUGGCUGUACUGACCAACGUUAUAGUGAUGAAUUUGCCUAUAUGAUGAGUGAAGAAUAUCAAAUGUCUAUGAUGGGAGAGUUGAAAUUCUUCUUAGGUCUUCAAAUUCGUCAACAGCACAAUGGCAUAUUCAUAUCUCAGGAGAAAUACCUCAAGGAUGUAUUGAGGAAAUUCGGCAUGCAAGAUUGCAAAGGCGUCAAAAUUCCGAUGCCCACAAAUGGCCAUCUGUGCACUGAUGAAAAUGGUAUUGACUUCGAUCAAAAGGUAUACCGAUCCAUGAUUGGUUCUUUAUUGUAUUUAUGUGCAUCUAGGCCAUAUAUUAUGCUUAGUGUUUGCAUGUGUGCCCGAUUUCAAGCUACACCGAAGGAAUCACACCAUAAGGUUGUGAAACAUAUUCUUCGAUAUCUAGCUAACACACCAACACUGGGAUUAUGGUACCCCAAGGGCUCGGCUUUUGAUCUCGUUGGAUAUUCUGACUCUGACUAUGCUGGUGAUCGUGUGGAUCGCAAGUCAACAUAUGGUACAUGUCAUUUCCUCAGACGAUCUUUGGUCUGUUGGUCCUCGAAGAAGCAGAACUGUGUAUCACUGUCUACUGCUGAAGCUGAGUACAUUGCUGCUGGUUCUUGCUGUGCUCAACUGCUUUGGAUGAAGCAAACUCACAAGGACUACGGCGUCAACGUGAAGAAUGUGCCUCUCUUCUAUGACAAUGAGAGUGCCAUCAAGAUUGCUCACAACCCAGUUCAGCACUCGAAGACAAAGCACAUUCAGAUUCGUCAUCAUUUUCUUCGCAAUCAUGUGUUGAAGGGCGACAUUUCUAUUGAGCAUGUGAAGACUGAAAAACAGCUAGCCGAUAUCUUCACAAAGCCCUUGGAUGAGAAGAGAUUUAGCAAGCUGCGGUGUGAGCUAAAUAUCUUAGAAUCUUCGAAUGUUCUUUAAAGAGGACACUCAUCCUAACACUUAUGCAAAAUUGAUGACUUAGAUGUGCAACACAUGAAGAAACGUUUUUCUUCAAUCAAUGAAGAAUAACACUCUAAGUGUGAAGAAAUUAAUGAAGAAUUUGAUUCUCAGAACCCUACGACAAUUGUACGCGGUGUAUGAAAUCAUCAUUCUUAUACGGUGGGUCACGCCACCACAAAAGUUGAAAAUCUUCAAUUUGAGUUUUUCCUCAGUUUUUGAAAUUCCUCGGUUGUUCAUAUUCUUCAACUUUGCAAAAUCUUCACUGUUUCCGUCGUUUUUCUUCAUUGGCUAUAUAUAUAUAUAUAUAUAUAUAUAUAUAUAUAUGUAAUUUUAUGUCCUCUACAGCAUUCACUUAUGGCUAAUUCAUCAAGUUGGUUUUUCUGCUAAGUGAAUGUGAUCGGACCCUUCCCCCUCUAUGCUAUACUCAACCCAAUCUAUUCACAAAUUCUUCAUGUGCGUUCUAUUUGAAACUCGUUCAAAAUCUUCACUGUGUCCUUGUCAGCUGAAGAAUUUGCGAACGGAACUUUUAACUUAUCUUAUCCAAAUUUUUGGCUUUGCCACUCAAACCGUUCUGCUUCCCAUGAUAUACUUAUCUAUUCACCCACGAUCUAACACGAUCUCCACUUCUCAGUACGUGGGUGACACAUGUCAAGCGAAUGAGAAGGGUCAGGGGCACGUUCGUCUAAUUUCUUCGGGCGAACCGUUUUCACCGUGGCUAUAAAUACCCCCUCUCCCCUUCACUGCCUCGACCUCGUCGCCGCAGUACUCGCGCCCGCCGCGGAAAUCUUCACUCCGCCGCCGCCGUAGCCGUCUUCCUCCGCCAAGUUAGGGCGUGGAAGAUCUGCACAGACGAGCUUCACUUCUCCACUUCCCAGUUCGUCGUGUUCUUCGUUCAGGGUAAUUAAAAGUUACUUUUACUGCCCUCUUUGAUUCAAAUGACUUCUACAAAAUCUUCAAAGGUGUUUAUUCCUCAAAUUUUUCACACACUGAACACCUCACUUGUCAUCUAUUCUUGAUUCGUUUCUCUAAGCAUCAUUUUUCUUCAAGAUUCCUCAAUUGUGUUGAUCUUUGAUCUAUACAACUCUGGAACCUAAGACAAAGAACACUUAGUGAAAUUCUUCAAGACUCAUCUGGUCAAAUUCCUCAAACUUGUUCUUUUUGAAAAACCUUCUGAGAACGCAUAUGACCUCUCCAAAUUCCUCGCAACCAUACUCUGUUCACAGGUACUCAUGUCCGCUGCUGAAUCACUAGGUUCUCAUCAACUUAACUCAUUUGCAGCAUUCCUUGAAGAAAAGUUGCAUACUUCUUCAGAGAGUUCAAUUGUUCAAAUUCCUCAACUAAAGAAAAUGGCUGAUGGAAAGAAGCCACAGAAAGGAGGAAAGAGGCCUGAGGUCAACACUGCUUUUGAAAUCCCUAAGGACAUUUAUGCUGGGUACUGCACACCCCUUGAGGAAGAUAAGAAUCAGCGCAAGGUGCGCAUUCAGAGGAUAGAAAGGAGAUGGGCAAAAGAGUGGAGGGAGUACAAGUAUGUGACUCCAAAAUACAUGAAGAAAUCCGUUGUUACUCCUCCAUGCUCAAGACCACCAUUGGCACCUGGCCAAGAGGCAGAUCCCACUAGCAUCAAGCGCGGUGAGGAUUUUCCUGAAGAAUGGGCCAAGCGCCAGGCCAAGUUGGCCAAACAGGCAAAAGAUGCAGUGAAGAAAUUCAACGAAGAUUCCACUGUUGCUGCUGAGGCCUCUGUAAGGCCGAAGAAAUCCAUGGCAAAGAAGCCUGCGCACAAGCCAAGUGCCUCUUCUUCAAUGCCCUCACGGCCAAUUUCCUCAGCUAAGGCCUCACGGCAAAUUCCUCAAGCCGCUCCUGCUCCUCCAAAGUCCUCAACUGCUCCGACAAAAUCCUCAGCACCUGUGCAUCUCGCCACGUGCCAAAGGACUACAGGCAUCUCUAUUGCCUCAGGAGCUUCGGCUAGUUCCUCAGCUGCACCAAAUUCUUCAAUAGGACCCUCUCUGCUGAAGACAAAGACCACUACUGGAUGAGGCUCUCGCCCAAGUCCUCAAAAGAAGCAGGUUGCCUUCCAAGUGUCGUCUGAAGAAGACGAAGCUGAUGAGAAAAAACUUGCUGAGAUCAUCAGAGGUAGGCAAGUCAGGGCCGCUAGAGCCAAGGGCACAGAUGUGCCACUGCUUUUGGAUCCAAAGUUGAUCCUCGACUACAUUGACCUCUGGCACAAGGACCCAAACACUCCUAUGCCUGAUUUCAAGUUGACACCUAGCCAAAGUCACAUGCUGACCCAUUUCAUCCAAGAAGAAAAAUGGAAAUAUGAGAAGGCCAGGCAGCUCAAGAAAGCACAGUACAAGAAGGAGAAGUUCCUGAAGAACAACGUUAUCUCUAUGACAACUGAUGAACUUGUAAAGAUCCAGUCUGAAACCAAAGUCCUCAGCGAUGAUUUCAACGCUUACUAUGUUGAUUGGAAAGGAGCCAAGGUCAGGUUUGUUAAACUGACUGAGAAGUUCACCACCAAUGUUGCAGCCCCAUCGCAACAAGAAAUUCCUCAGGCUGAAGAAAUUGCUCAGCCAACUGAAGAACAUGCCAGCACCGCUGAUGACAAUCAGGCUGCUGAAGACAAUGUGAGUUCCAAGCUGAUGACUACAUUCCAGCCACUGAAGAAAUUCCCAGGGUACCCACUAGUGGUGCGCCUGAAGAAAAUGAGGAGGUCAGGGCAACUGCAUCAGUUGUGCCUGAAGAAAAUGAACCACAUUCCUCUGCUCCUUCUGCACCUACUCCAACUCCAAUCCUUCCAUCUGCAUCAGAUGUGAAGAAGACCAAGGCUGCAGAGCAUGCAGCAGUGAAGAAAAGGAAAGCAUCAACUCCUUCAGAUUCUUCAGCAUCGAAGAAGAUGAAGAGAUUGACAAGUUCAUUUGCUAAUCCAAUUGAUGUUGUUCUAGUUUCCUCCAUGCCAUCAAAGGAAAUCAUCCCUUUUGAUGAAGAAUAUGAGAUCCCUAGUGGAUCUGAUGAAGAAAAUCCUUCUGCUGCUUCGUCAGAGCAGAUGGAUGAAGAAAUUGAAGCGGAUCAAAUCCCUUCAACACCAGUUGUUUCCUCGCCUAUGCCUCAGUUCACAGCUGAAGAGGCUGGCGUUGAAGAAAUUGAAGAUGAAGAUGUGGACAUUGGCUGUACCACACCAGUGAUGAAUGAUGACUUUUGGGAAAGUCAGCACCCCAAUUCUCCACUCUUCACUCCACUGCAGAAAAUUCCUCAGUCCCCAGUCACUACAGUUCAAAUGGGAUCUGAUGAAGCUCAUGAAGACAUUCCAGCCGCUAGUGCUGAAGAAAAUGAAAAUGAAGAAUUCAAGAACCAGGCUGCCACUGAAGAGGAACCAGAAAUUCCUCAGCCUGAAGAACCUGAGAUUGCGAUUCCUGAGGUUGUGAUGCAACUCACUGACACUCCUCUGCCCAAGCUAAAGGAUCCAUUCUCCAGGAAGCAAAAAUUCAAGAUGGAUGCCUUCUUUGGCGAGCAUGUAUUCUUCACUGAUUACAACCCUUAUGACUCUACUCGCAUAAGGAAGAGGCAUUUCUGGACUGCCAGCCAGGCAAAUUUCUAUUCCUCGGUGUUGUUCAACAAAGACAAAGUCUUCGAUCAUGAGCACAUUCCUCACGUGGAUAUGGAAUCUCUGCCGUGCUUCGAGCCAGUCCUCAGUGUUCUUCACGACGCUGGAUUGUUAAAUUUCUGCACUGACAUCUGUGAUUGGAAUGAAGAACUUAUUCUUCAAUUUUAUGCGACGCUGCACAUCACCGGAAAUUCUGAAGAUGUGAAUUCAUGGGUGCUGGACUGGAUGUCCGAAAACACUCACUACAAAGCACCAGCUACUGAAUUGCUUCGUGCUUUGCCACUCAGUCCGCCCCUUGAAGGUGCCUGUUGCGUCUACAAUGAACCUGAGCUUACCGAUCACUACAUGCAAGUGAUUAUGAAGCCUUUGAAGCCAGGGCAGGCCCCACGAACAAAAUUCCUUGUGAAGGAAUUACUGUAUGUGCCUCGGACUGUCUAUCGCAUUUUGACGAAGACAUUGAGUCCAAUCAAGGGCCACGACUUGAAUGAAGAAGAAGUCGCUAGCAUCAUGAAGAAUCUGCUUUUCAAUAUCAUUCAUGGCAUUCCCAUAAACUUCCAUGAUUUCUUCAUGAGGACUCUGGCCAAUGUCGCCAUGUCACCAUUUGAGUUGAAGCCUUAUGCACCUUGGAUUAUGAGAUUCAUCAGGACAAGGUCUUCACUCAACUAUAAAGCUGAUACACUGAGCCAUUGCAGCUACUUGCCCCCAAAUGCAGUCCUCAAACGGACAUUUUCCUCAGCUGAUGAAAAGGGCAAGGCUACUUCUGUAAUUGAUGAAGGCAUUCGUCCAUUGGAUGGACAAUUUCGCAAGGCUGCAUCCUACUCCACCAAUGAUGACUCUGCCACCCAUGACUCUGCCGCAAACGCACCCAAGCAAAAUACUCAAGGCGCAGCACCCAGGGUGAUGACUGACCGUGAGCUUCUCCUCAGUCUUCAUCAGAAGAUUGAUCGCAAUCAUAAAUGGGUCAAGCGUCAGUUUGUUUCAAUUCUUCACAACAUGACUGCUACCCACAAUGCAGUGAAGAAAAACCACUACUACCUUCAUGAAACCCUCAACCGCACCUGGGUUGUUCUGUCUCAAGUCUAUAGUGAAGAAGAUCUGAAGAAAAUGGGUCUCAAGGAAGAUCUUGACUGGGCUGCACCUCCUCCGAAGAAGUACAAGAAGGUCAAGGUUCCUUCCUUGGUGGCCAGCUCCUAUUCUUCAUCACGUGACACUGAUGAACAUGAAGACUUGGACGACACUGCGCCAGGCCCUACAUCAACAAACGACCCCAACAACGCUGGCGCUCCUUCAUCAACUUGAUAUUCUUCAGGGGCGUUAGUCCUCAUUUUCGACCCUUUUGGUCAUUUGACGACAAAGGGGGAGAAAUUUGAGUUAGUCUUCAAGUGGGUCUAUCUUAUGGGCGUUUUUUUCUAAAGCUACAACUCCCGUUCUUCUGACGACUUUGUUGGAUCGAGUUGUAAACUUAAACUCUAUGGUGGUCUGAUACUUUUGUUGUUUCUUCUGCAUGCUUAUUCCUCGUUAAUAUUAUUGCACGCAUGCUGAAUUACAUCAGUCACCAUAUUUCAUCAUGCAUUUCAAAUUCUUCAUAUAUUAUGUCAAAUGCGUGUAUGAAUUACAAGAUGUAGGGGGAGAUCUCCAUGAUUCAACUCUUCAAGUGUGCAUUGCUUCAAAAGCAAAUUCCUCACUAUGCACAUCUUCAGGGGGAGUUCUUCUAUAUCUUGCAAUCAAAUUCCUCAAUAUCAGUAUUUACAUUUCAUAUGUUUAUCCCCAUUGAAAACUUAACCUAUAUUGUCAUCAAUCACCAAAAAGGGGGAGAUUGUAAGUGCAUCUAGUGCCCCUUAGUGAUUUUGGUGUAUUGAAGACUUAUAGGUUAAGGGACUAAUGUGUUUAUGAGUGUACACAGGUCUAUAAGUCUAUGAGGAGUUUGAUAUUUACAGUGAAAGUCGACCCCUAAAAAUGAAGUUCUUCGACUGAAGACUUUGGAUUUCUCAAGACUUUCUGAAGACUCUGAAAGUGAAGAAAUUGGGGUGACCUUGAAGACUUGAUAUUCAUUUGAGGAACAUGAAGCGUGAAGACUUUUGUUUUCGUAGUUUCAUUUUCUAUUUAUUGAGUCAUAGGAAACACCGUACUGUUAAAGGGGGUCGAGGAAAUACUAAGGAAAAACUUCCAUGUGAUGCUCAACUCAAAAUCCUACACCUACCAAUCCCUUCGAGUGAAGCCAUUGGAAAUCUCAUACAGUUCAAUCAUAUUCUUCAGUGACAGAGACAAAGUUCUUCUGGUCUCUAAGGAAUUUGUUCUGACUGAGGAGUUAGGAAUUCGCCAGUGCGGAUUGCCUACAAAGUGAGGAACAUGAUAGCCCUGAGGAAUUUGAUACUCAAAUUUCCGACCGUUGCUGUGCUAUGCGCCAGCUGUCUCAAAAAUAUCUACCCACCUAACGGUCAUAUCAUUGAAGGGCAUUUAUGUCUUAUCAUGUCGGGCUACUCCCUAGGCUAUAAAUAGCCGCCCCCUACAACCACUAGCUGGUUGGCUGCUCCGAGAGAAACUGACACUUGUCAUUUGAGAGCAUCCCAUCCUCCGAGGACUUUGAGCGAAAAUCAUCAAGUGAGGAAAACCCCAAACCCAAACACCUACAAACCCAAAGUGAUUGAGCAUCACUGAAGAGAUUGAUCCUGCGUGGAUCCGACGCUUGUUACCUUUGAAGACUGUGCUUCUUCCAGACGGUUAGGCGUCAUGGUCUAGAGCAUCCAAGAGGAAAUUGUGGAUCGCCGAGUGACCGAGUUUGUGAAGGUUUGGAAGUCACCUGAAGACUUACCACGAGUGAUUGGGCGAGGUCUGUGUGACCUUAGCUCAAGGAGAAUACGGUGAGGACUGUGUGUCCUCAGGUUUAAAUACCUAGCCGCUCCAACCAGACGUACAACUGAGACAGCAGUUGGAACUGGUCUACCAAAUCAUUGUCUUCACCAAGCUUACUGGUUCUAUUUCCUCAACUCUUUCAAUUCCUCAUUACUGUGUUGUAUGCUUGUUCAUAUCUGUGUUUGAAGACUUUGACUAAAGACUUUCUCAAUUUCCUCAGUUCAAUUUCCUCAGUCUGUUUGUCUUCAUCCUGUGUUUACGCUUUUUGUACUCUGUGCUUGUUUUCAUUUCAUCAUGAUGACUAUGCUUGUGUUCUGCUAUGCAUACUCUUGAGUACUUAUUCCGCUACAAGUAGUUCUUCGCUAAGGAAUUUCCUCACCCACAAAUUCCUCAGUGAAGAAUUUAUAAAAAUCGCCUAUUCACCCCCCCUCUAGUCGGUAUAACGCACUUUCAGUUCUUCUUUACUAUAUGUUGAAGCUGUCAUCUGCGAAGUAUCAUCACUUCUGGAGCUCUCAUAUUUUGAGUAGUAGGCCACAUUAUAUUAAUGCACACACCAAAUUACAGCAUGCAUGGCACCUCUUAGAAGAAUUGCAGAGAUAACACAAAGGGGUUUACAGGGAGAAAGUAUUGGAUUAGAAUCACUUCUGCAUUACAAAGAUAAUCUCACUUGUUUUUAUGUUUUCAUGCAUGUCAGAUAUUGAACAUUAUCAAAUUGAAUAUGAGAAUGGGCGCACGAGAGGAAUAUUGCGGAACAAUCCACUGGCUAACAAACUUGGCAUGGUGGAGGAUGGCCUAUCUUAUUCACCCAUCAAGGUGCAUGCUCUAACUUGGCAAGGUUGUAUUGGUCGCACAUAUUUUGCAUCUGACCUCUUGCAUUACUUCUACUUUGUUACACCAUCUGCUUAGUUUAAGCAUCAUAUAUGAGUAUAUGCCAUACCUAUCCAUUUUCUGUACCUAUUCCAUGUGUCGUCAUACUAUGUUUUUCCAGUCAAAUGUUAUUCUUUCUUAAUAGAUGUCCAAAAGGAAGAGGGUGAGUGUAGAUCCUCAAGGAGUACAAACUAGGUAUUUGGAAAAGGUAGUGAUACCUGUUAAAUCAGAUAGAUCAGCAGCCACAUAAAACACAGGCCCAACUGCACCGGACUUUACCCCUACUCCAGUGGCCAAAUCCCUAUUAGAACUGCUGAGAGCCCUGCGUCAGGUACUGUCUAUGAUAUCAAUUCAAAAUUUGAACUCCUAAAUUUCUGCAUGUGCCUUACCUUCUCUCUUGUAUGAAAACUAAUUCCAAAUGAAUCUCCUUUCUCAAAGGAUCAUAGGAUCUCACGACAAUACUGGGCUCUGCAUUGCUCUUGUUAGUACCUCUUGCCCUUUGUCAGCAUACUUACACUCAUUGCUGUUUGAUUAUGUAGCAUCACUGUAAAUGUUCACUUCUUUAUCCUCCCUUUGCUUGAAAUUAUAAGAUCUAUAUUUACUCUUAGAUAAAAAAGAAUUAACACAAUGGUUAUGAAGUUUUGGAUUGCUCAUGUAAGUACCUGUUGUCAUGUACUCCCUCUAUAUCGAAUUAAUUGUUGAUCAAUUGGAUGUAUUUAGAACUUAAUAGUGCUAGAUACAUCCAUUUGAGCGACAAGUAAUAAUGGACGGUGGUGGUAUUACUGUACAUGGAUCGCGAGAUAGUUGAUUGUCUAGCAUUACUCUGCAUCUUAUCUGCCCUGCCCUCCACUUUCUCCAAAUUAUCAUAUCUACAUUUACUCCUACCAAAAUGUUGAAUAAAGCCAAUGCCACUUCACACAUUGAUGCCUGCAUUCCUCUUGUCAGUACCUUUUGCCUUGUAACGCUAUACUUAAUUAAUUGCUAUUUGAUUAUGUAUCAUCAGUUUGCACCCGAGCUUCAUUAUCCUCUAUUUCUUCCAAUAUUAUUUGAUCUAUAUUUACUCUUUGCAAAACGUAGAAUAAUGGCAACUCUUAUAAAGAAUUUUCUUUGGGGAAUUUAUUGAAUUAUCCUUCCAUCAACAUGGAGAAGGGCUUUGUCCAGCCCAUGUUAACAUGUAAUGUAAGUUCAUCCUUCUCAAGCCUUCAAACUUUGUUCUAGUAUAGAUUUGGAUAGGCAUCAUUUCCUCCACUGCUGUUUACAUCUGAUUGGAUGUUUGCAACAACUACCAGUUUUAAAUUGUAGUUGUAAAAACAUGUUCUUUAUGCAGAACAGAUCCAUUUAUUUGCUUAUAUAAUUGUGAAACCUGUUACGUGUCUCCUUGUUUCUCUUUCAGAGUCGUAUCUCUUAUGCCAGGCAGAACUUUAGGAAAGAUAGUGAGCCAAACCAUCUUGAGGACAGCGAGAUGACCCCAAGGUCCUGUCUUGAUGAAGACGGUGAGUUGAAGCUACUCACCAGCAGGUGUGAGACAACCUCUGUGCAGUCCCUGCCUCAAUCAGUUCGGUUCUUCAGUCUCAACUUAAAGCGGAAAGGCUUGCUUCAGCUCAGCUCCGACUUGAAGUCAAAGAUGUAAUGAAGAUGUCAGGGGACUGCCUUGCGCACUAUGGUGCCAUACAGCUAGGGAUGAAGCAUCUAUCAUUGACACAACUGAGGUCUCAUCAGCUUGUUCGGCUGCUUGCGGGGCCCGACCUUGCCAGGUCUAGUGCCUUCUGAAGUGCUCUCAGUUUUGUAUAUUCUUUUGUCGGCACAUUUAUAUGCACUGGUGGCGACCUUUGAUGCCCAGUGUAUGUAAUCCGCGGUCAUGUUGCGCUUUAUUAUCACCGGUAGCGAACUUUGAUUCCGAAUGGAUGUAAUAUGCCAUAAUUUCUUUAUUGUAUAUUCUAGAUUUAUUCUUUGGUCGGUAUGUUGUAAUUUAGGCUGGAAGGUUCAGUGGAUCUCAGUGUUGUCGGUCUUCAGGCCGGCCCUUUACUCAUAUGGGCCAAAACGUGGGCCUAUAAUCAUCUUGGGCCAUUAGUAGGUCUAAACCUAGAGUAGUUCCCGCCUUUAACAGGCCAUGGGCUACAUAUUUACUGUAGUGACACUGGGCCUCCUACGGGCCGUAGAAACAAUGGACCUUCUACGGGCCGUAGAAACAAUGGGCCUUCUACGGGCCGUAGAAACAAUGGGCCUUCUACGGGCCGUAGAAACAAUGGGCCUUCUAUGGGUCGUAUCAUCAAUGGGCCUUAUACGGGCCGUAUGAUCGAUUAGCCAAACAUGGGCCAAAAACAGACCGCAUUAUGGCCGUAAACGGGCUAGAGUUGGAGUCGUCCAUUCAUGGGCCAACCAUAACGGGCCGUUGUUAAUAGGCCGUAUUUGAUGACGCUAUGAAAACGGCCCAACGUAUUAACGGGCCACAAACGGGCCGACUGUAACCACGGGCUGAAUUUGGCCCACAAGCAAAAAAUGGCAGUAACGGGCCGUAAGUAACCGAAUGCUGGAAAUGAGCCCAAGAAUAAAUGGGCCCUAAGAAGGCCGAAAGAUAACAUGGGUUGCAAACGGCCCAAUGGAUUAAUGGGUCGUUAAUGGGUAUAAAGUGAUACACUGUUCAUUACGGGCCAGUUUCACCACGGGCCGUUAAUGGGCCAAGAGUUACAAAGGGCCUCAUAUGGGCCGAAAGACGUCAUGGGCCAUACAUGGGCUGGAACUUAAAAUGGGCUAGAAUCAUAUUGGACGGCCCAGAUGACGCUACUGGGCCUAAUUCGGAUAGGUCGUUACGGGCCCUGGGUUAGCAGGCUGUAAAUGGGCUAUAUGCGAAUAGACCGUUAACAGGCUUUCUAUGGGCCGGCCCGCCACCUUUUGACCAAGUCAAACGGGCCAGCCUUUUCACAGGAAUGGGCCUCUGUUCGGCUGUGCCACAUGUGGACGUAUCAUAGGCGCCUUCGGUCCAAUGAGUGGAUGACAUCUGUCCCAACGGUGAGCCGGCACGUGUUUCCUCCAGCCAAUGAUGAUUUUACACGUGGAAAAUCCCCAUUGGUCGGGGCUGUGAGCGGGUUAUCGGAUCCAAAACCGGACCCGAUAGCUUAACGGUGUUCCGUUACGGUGGAUGCCAUGUGUCGGUCACCCUUGACGAAAGCACUUCUGUGACGCGCGAUUUAUCGUCAUGGAAGUGGACACUUCUGUGAUGAUAAUUUUGGUAAUGUCAUUGAACACUUCUACGACAACACAGGUAUGACUAUCUUGACUCUGUCAUAAAAUUGUCAUGGAUGUACAUGCAUGACAAAAAACGUGACCUACUGUGACAAACAUGUAUCAUCACGGAAGUGUAUUUUUUUUGUUGUGGUAGCAGAAGGCUCCGAAUGGUGUGAUGAAGGCGGUCUUCAAGCGGUCGGCCGGGUUCAACUUGAUCUGGUAGUAUCCUGAGUAGGCAUCCAAAAAACUCAAUAGCUCGCAUCCGGCUGUGGAGUCUAUCACUUGGUCAAUCCGAGGCAAGGCAAACGAAUCUUUGGGGCAAGCUUUGUUGAGGCUGGUAUAAUCAAUACACAUGCGCCACUUGUUGUUCUUCUUCAGUACAAGGACUGGGUUGGCAAGCCACUAUGGAAAGAACACUUCCAUAAUGAAGCCUGCUGCCAGAAGCCGGGCUAUCUCUUCACCAACAAUUCUUCUCUUCUCCUCUGGCAGGCGGUGGAGGGGCUGCUAACUGGUUUUGCAUCUGCUCUGACAUGUAGCUUGUGCUCGGCGAAAUCCGUCGGAACACCCGGCAUGUCCUUGGGGGGGCAUGCAAAGAUGUCCCAAUUCUCACGGAGGAAAUCGACGAGCUCGCCUUCAUAUUUGCUGUCGAGGUGAGCACCUAUGACAGCAAACUUCUCCGGGUGGUUCGGGUCCAAGGGAAUCUUCUUGGUCUCUUUAGCCGGCUGGAAGGAGCCCUGAGGUUCCGGCUCCUUGGGGUCUGAUGAUAGGUCCGGCUGCUUGCUGGCCAUGGCCACCACCCAGUCAAGGAGCUUCCUCUCGGCUACAAUUACAAGGGACUCGGCCAGACGGCUGCUGGCUGCAGCACAGGCGCCCGACCUCUUGUAAUCUCUAGACACGGUGAUAAUACCCUUGGUUCUCGGCAUCUUCAUUUUUAGGUAGGCGUAGUGCGGUACAGCCAUGAACUUGGCCAGAGCAGGUCGGCCAAGCAGUGCAUGAUAAGGGCUCUCCAAGUCAACUACCUCAAACCAAAUUGCUUCACGGCGGAAGUGAUCUUUGUCUCCGAAGAGGACAUAUAUCUUGAUCUUGCCGAUUGGUGAGCAGGAAAGGCCAGGUACAAUGACGUGGAAGAUAGUCCGACUGGGCUGGAGCUGCUUCUCUUUGAUGCACAACUUCUCCAUAGUGUCGCGGUAGAGGAUAUUGAUGCUACUACCGCCGUCUAUCAGAACUCGGGAGAAACGAGCAGCUCGCCUCUCUGUUGCAAAGGUGGCAUCCAACACCAGGGCAUAAGAACCCGGAGAAAGCAUCACCUCCGGGUGGUUAGCUCGGCUCCAACUGAUGGGCUUCUCGGACCAGUGCAUGAACUCUGGGGCUUUUGAGGUGACAGCGUUCACCUCUCGGUGCUGCUGGCGCCGGCUAUGCUUGUCAUCGGUCACACUAGUGAAGAUGACGUAGGCUCCGUGCUCCUCGGGGAAUUCAUAUUGGAUGGCGCCGACUGCUGGACGGGUCGUCGGCUGCUGAGGAGGCGGCGGCGGGCCGGCAUGCGGAGGAGGCAGCAGUCCUUCGCCCUUGGAGAUUUGGGUGAGCCAUUGGCACUUCCGGGUGGUGUGGUUGGACGGCUUCAUGCCGCUGUGAAACUUGCAGGGAGCGUCGAGGGGUUGCUCAUAGGAGAAGGCGGGCAACCAAGCCGGCUUGCCGCCCUUCUGACGCUUGGGUAAGUGUUGUCCCUCCGGUUGCUGAUCCUCAACUGUUGCCACCUGCCGGCUGGUGAAAGCCAGCUGCGGGGCCUUGCGCUUGUUGUCGUUCUGUUGCUGGCGCUGGCUGUUGUCUCCAGCCGGUGUUCUAGGAGCCGGAGGGAGCACUUUUCCAAAAGCGUCCACCCGGAGCUCCGACUUCAUGGAGGCAUCGGCAGUGGCGUACUUGUCCGCUAUGAUCAGCAGCUCGUCGAGGGUGGCCGGCUCGUCACAGAGGAGUCGGUGCUUGAGUAAGGUGCUCUCUCGGCACCGGCGGUGAAGUACUCUAUGGCUUGCACUUCGUGCACCCCUUUGGAGGAGUUGCGCAGUUCAGCCCACCGCGUCAAGUAGUCGCGGGUGGACUCGUCCGGACCUUGAACGCACAACGAGAGCUGGCGAGGCUUGGGCGGCCGCUUGUAGGUGCUGGUGAAGUUGCGGAUGAACACUUCGGUGAAAUCUACCCAGUUGUUGACGCUGUAGGGCUUUAGGCUGUUCAGCCACGUCCGAGCCGUGCCCUGGAGCAUGAGCAGAACGUACUUUACGGCAACGCACUUGUUGCCAUCCGCUAUGUUGACGGCCGUGGAGUAGUCGACCAACCAAUCUUCCGGCUUCACGAAACUGUUGUACUUCGGCGUGUCUCGUGGGAGCGAGAAUCCUUUGGGGAAGGGCUCGUCACGAAUGCGGGGGCCGAAACAAGGUGGGCCCAUCGCGUCUUCUUCUUCUAACGCCAGGGAUCAAGCGAGGCUAUAUCCGAUGGCGGGCAUCAUUCUCUCUGACUCCUUCACGGCGGCCCAGCCGGUCGCCAAGAGUCCGGUGCUCAACAGGCGGCGGGGAGACGUGCCUCUCCCUGCGAGGGGGAGGAGGAGGCGGGCGACCGCCCCGUCGUUCCACUGAUCGUGGGCGGCCAUCUUGGUCGCGCUCGAUGGUGAUACGCGUCUGGCUGCGGUUAGCAGCCGGCUCUCGGUCUCUCUGGUCGCGGGCGCCGCCUGUCGGUGUCCGGGAGGUCGCUCCUUGAUCUCAGCGAGGGGGAGGAUUCUCAUCGUGCGCGCCAGGCUCUGGCACGCGGCGGCCGGCUUCUUACUGCGCAGCAGCCACGUCGAUGAGCUGCUGAACACGCUCCGUCAUGCAACAACGCUCGUCUCCUUCCAGGCGGUCCGGCUCGUCUUCUACCGCCUGGGCAGCACGUAUGUUUUCCGCGGGCGUGGCGUAGACUGGGCGGUCCACCCCAAACAAGCUGGCGAUGGCGCCCCCAUGUUGCCGGAUCGUGCCCACGCGGCUGGGCUCUCUAGCGGACGGGGUGCCGCCGAUGGCACGGUCGACUUCGCGCUGAUAGGCCUCGGAGAGGCGUCUCAUGGCAGCCAACUUCUUGGCGCUUUCGACGAGCGCAAUGCAGUGAGCUUCUAAGGUCUCGGCGUCUGCGCCUGCCGUGAUAGGUGGGGACAGGUCUCGCAGCGCCGCUUGCAGCGGGUCCUGAGCGGCUCCGCCAGAGGCCUCGUCACGGUUAAUGACGAGCACCUCCGUGACGGUCCUGCCGCUGUUAUCCGCGCCAGGGAGUGGGUCGUCGAUGACCACCACGUUGGUGGGGAAGGCUUCGAGGGAUGUCGUGUCAGAAUCGACAAGCAUCGGGUCGAUGGAGCUGAUCGACUCUAGGUCGGAGAAGAGCUCGUUGGCAGUGUGGAGCUUGCCAAGGAGGUCGAUGAGGCAGCUCUCGGAGCUGGCUGCACCCGCAUCGGGCGCGGGCUCGUUGGAGAGUCGGAUCUCGCCGACAAGAUCAGCGAGGCCGCUCGCCGCGUAGGCGACUUCCGCGCCAUGCAGCGCGUCAGCGCAAACGCCAUCGGGCGUGCCGGGCUAGCUGCGCUCGCCAGGAAGGAACAAGGUUCCCAUCCAGAACAGAUCUCCAGAAGACGGUGCACCUAGCCCCACGGUGGGCGCCAAAUGUCGGGGGUUGGGGCGACAUAUGCCAAAGGAUGGCUUAUCAUGGUGGGAGCUAGUAAGACAUAGCCGGUGCCUGGAAAUGGGAUGAGGCGUAGACACGAACACCGGCGCACUUUACCCAGGUUCGGGGCUCUCCUAGGAGAUAACACCCCUAGUCCUGCUCUGCGGGGUCUCCACAUGAUCAAUAACUCAACAAGUGGCUACAAGUGCUCCUUGAGCUGUUUGGCUAGGGGAGGAAGAAGGGUAGGGCUAGCUCUCCUCCUCUCUCUACGUGGUGUAUGUGAUAUCUCAGGGGUUGAACCCUUUGCAUGGAUGCCUUGGGGGGUCUAUAUAGGCCUUCCCCCAGGGGUGCAAUGGUAAUCUGGCUGGGUGGUAGGACCCGACUGUCAGUGUCUCUAGUCGCCGGCUUCUCCGCCGGUAGUUGGUGCCCGUCGCCUGGUGGGUCCCGCCGGCUGUCUCGUACUCGCCCAACAAGCCGCUCCCGCCGCUGGCGGGUCUUGCCGGCUGCUUAGUACUGUAGCCGUGCCGCUGAUGAUGUGUGCUUUGUCGAGGAGAGCGUGGCUACAGUCCACCGCCUAGUGGGCAUUCACUAUAGCCACUCCCCGUCUCUUCUGAUUAAUGGCGCACGGAGUCCAAGGGAGGGGGAGGGCCGCCUGGUCAGGUGUCGACCUCCCCGCAAGCCAGCUGAUCAGGGCUCGCCGUCUUCUGGCAUCUCACGGACAGGUAGGACCCGCCGCCUAUGGGCCGUACUGACAGUCGGUCGUGGGUGCAUGGCCUUCUCUGCCAUGGAUGAUGUCACGGGCUGCGUGGCAAUAGUGCCGCGCCACGUUCCACCCUGGAUCCGGGGGUGACAGACUGCACUGUAGCCAUGCCCCGUCUCGUCGUGUUUAUGUGAGUGCUAACUUCGAGGGCACGAGGGGCCGCCUGCUAGGAGUCGGCCUCUGUGGAGGCCGCCUUCUAGGAGUCGGCCCACUCGGCGAUCGUCUUCUGAGUAUGGCCGCCUCCUGGAAGCCGGCCGUCUUGACCAGCCGGCCCCAGGAAGGCGGCCUUCUGCCUUUGAUUCUUGGGGGGUACAGCCGGCCCCGAUGUCUUGAAGUACCAUGGGGGGCUGAUGAGGCUACCCGUGGUCAUUUACUCUGACACUAAGCAGAGGUACCCACAUUGGCAGAAGCUGGUUUAUGGGGUGUUCAUGGCUAGUCAUAAAUUAAAGCAGUAUUUCCCCGGUCAUCCCAUCAUUGUGGUCAGUUCUGCUCCCUUAGGGGAUAUUAUUCAAAACAGAGAAGCCACAGGUCGGGUAGCCAAGUGGGCCAUUGAGCUUGGACCCCAUGGUUUGAAGUAUAUGCCUCGGACAUCUAUCAAGUCUCAAGCACUUGUGGAUUUCAUUAAUGACUGGACCGAGUUGCAGAUGCCUGAGGAGAAGCCGGAUAGCACAUAUUGGACUAUUCACUUUGAUGGAUCCAGACAGUUGGAAGGCUCUGGGGCUGGAGUUAUUUUGACUUCCCCAUGAGGUGAUAAAUUUUGCUUUGUUUUAAGGUUAAUGUUCCCUUGUACUAACAAUGCAUCUCAGUAUGAGGCCUUGCUCCAUGGUCUUCGGAUGGCUAAAGAGAUGAAUUUAAGCCGGGUGAGGUGUUUUGGCGACUCAGAUUUGGUGGCUUGGCAAGUUUCAGGCACUUGGGAUUCCAAAGAUCCACUCAUGGCGGCUUAUCGCCGAGAGGUUGAUGCUAUUGCCGGUCAUUUCAAAGGUUAUCAAGUGGAACAAGUUGAUCGCAGGAAAAAUGAGGCGGCUGAUGCUUUAAGCCGGCUAGGAUCCCAGCGUAAGCCGGUACCACCUAAUGUUUUCCUUGAUAUUCUGCAUAAUCCAUCAGUUAAAUUGCCUACGGAGGAAGAUCUUGUUGUUCCUGACCCAGAGGCGCAGUUGGUGGCGGCUGUCCAUGCUAUUCCUGAUUGGACGGUUCCAUAUUUGGCUUAUAUGACCCGGGGUGAAUUACCUGAAGAUGAAACUUUGGCUAGGCAGAUAACCCGGCGAUCUAAGUCAAUGACUAUUGUCAAUGGAGAGUUGCACCGAUGCAGUGUCGCAGGGGCGUUUCAAUGUUGCAUUUCUCCUGAGGAAGGCCGUGAGAUUCUACGAGAGAUUCAUGAAGGAGAUUGUGGCCAUCAUGCCGGCUCUAAGUCUCUCGUGGCUAAGGUUUUUCAUCAUGGGUUUUAUUGGUUGACGGCUCAUGCUAAUGCAGAGGACUUGGUCAGUAAAUGUGAUGGUUGUCAGAAAUUUUCAAGACGAGCUCAUGUGCCAGCUCAAGAAUUGAGGAUGAUUCCAAUUACUUGGCCAUUUGCAAUCUGGGGGUUGGAUAUGGUUGGACCUUUUAAAAGAUCCAAGGAUAAAAAGACCCACCUUUUGGUGGCGGUUGACAAGUUUACAAAAUGGGUUGAGGCAGAGCCGGUCAGUAAGUGUGACGCGGCGACGGCAGUUCAAUUCAUCAAAAAGGUGAUUUUCCGUUUUGGCUACCCCCAACAGCAUUAUAACUAAUAAUGGCACUAAUCUGUCUAAAGGUGCUAUGAAAGAAUUCUGUCAACGAGAACAUAUUCAUCUUGAUGUAUCAUCAAUGGCUCACCCCCAGUCCAAUGGUCAAGCUGAAAGAGCUAAUCAAGAAAUCUUCAGAGGCAUAAAACCCCAGCUUAUGGUCCCUUUGCAGAGGACGCCGGGUUGUUGGGUUGAGGAGUUACCUUCAGUGCUUUGGAGUAUCAAUACCACCCCAAUAGAUCUAAGGGUUACACGCCUUUCUUCAUGGUUUACGGAGCAGAGGCGGUUCUCCCAAGUGACAUCCAUCACGACUCGCCCCAUGUGGCAGCUUACGUUGAAGUUGAUAAUGAAAAAGCACGUCAGGAUGCUCUUGAUCUUCUGGAUGAGGAACGUGACCUUGCGGCGGCUCGUUAGGCGAUUUACCAGCAAGAUCUGUGUCGUUAUCAUAGCGGCCGGGUUAAAACUCGGACCUUUCAAGAAGGUGACUUGGUACUCCGGCUCAUCCAGGAUCGAACUGACAUGCACAAGUUAUCCCCACCUUGGGAAGGGCCCUUUGUGGUCAGCAAAAAUCUGAACAACGGAUCAUACUACCUCAUUGAUAUUCGAGAGCACAAAGACUCACGCAAGUCCGAGGAGGAGACCCGCAGGCUGUGGAAUAUUGCUCAUCUUCGACCUUAUUACACCUGAGCCACCGGCUCUUGUGUUGUACAUAUUUUUAUCCCUGUAUAUAUUAUGAUCAAGAAUAAUAAAGCCGGCAUCCCUGAUAAUUCACGGCCUCUGUCGUUUCAUUUCUGAAUAUUUGAGUCUUUAUUGUCAAUUCAUACUAGUAAGUGUGCACGUGCAACGCACGUCUAUUUGGACUAAUAAGUGUGCACAUGCAACACGCGUCUAUUUGGAUUAACAAAUUAUAAUAACUUAAUACAAGACAAUUUAUUCAUAAAUUUGAAAUUUACCUAUAAAGUACACAAUCUCUUAUUCCCAACUCGUACAAAUAAUUUGAAAUAUCGUUUCUCUUUUAUCAAUAUCGUUUGUCCUUAAUCAACAUGUCUCCUGUAUUAAAAGACCACCCACUUUCCCCAAGGUAUAAAACUCAAAAUUAUUUAGAAGAUUCAUCAUGAUUCUCCAUAUGCACACAUUUAUGCAAGUAUAAUCACACAUGAAAAUGUUACUUAGGACAAGCUAAGGAACCAUUUCAGUGCCAACAAACUCCAGUCAAGAAUUAUUAUUACAAUUGAGUGACAACCACAACAGUGGGAAGAGACUUCUAUGGUUUGUUGAAAAGAGGAAGCCAUUGUCAGAUAGAGAAGUGUAGAGAUGUCUUGACUGCAUAGGAGCAGUUGUGAAACAAGACAAAAAAAUGCUAGUUGGACCAUUCGAUUCUACUAUUGCACCACAAGUGUCGCAAUGUUUGGAAGCAUGAAAAGUGACUUACUUUAUUAUGAAAAUAGAACAUGUAAACCAAAUAAAAAUUACAGUGAUGAGUUGCAUAAUCUUACAUUCUUAAAAAGUUGAUCCCCACUUCUAACAAUUCUCUCUACAUGCACACUGUCCACAUCAGCAUGAUGCCACGUCAGCGUCCUCAACAUAUAGCCUCCACGUCAAGAGAAAAAAAAUCAACAAAUCAUUAGGUUUCAAUCUAAGUGCGUCAUCAUAAUUGUUUUAGGCUUUGAUUCAAUAUACCCUAGCCAACUAGAGCCGUCUGAUCUCUUCUGCUGCACGCGUAGGAUCCCGGCAAAUUUGACAAUUUUGACCUUGGGAUGAAAUCAAUUCACAGAAUGAACUGCCCGUGAAACUAUUUCACGUCCCUGACCUUUUUGUGUAGCGCCCGCCACGCAGGCGCCACACCCUACGGUGCAACGCCUAGCACGGGGCGUUGCACGCCAGUCCACCGUGGCAGCCCUAGGCCCCGCACCCAGCAGUGCAGCGCCUUUGAGCUAGGCGCCACACAUGUAAUGUGCAGCGCCUAGCCGUCGGGCGCUGCACUGUGACUUAGAUCUCAGCCGCGGCGGCCCUCUCCUCCCCCACCCACCCCAUUGCAGCAGUUACAGAACAGAACAGGACUUCCCGCGGUGGCGGCCCUCCACUCCCCCUCUCAAUCCCCUCUCCCAAAUCCAUCAGAUCUGACGAUUUGGUCUGUGGAUUCCUUCACCAAUCCAUCCUAGAAGGUACCCUCCUCCGAUCCCCUUCUUUCAAUCCAUAUAAUGUAUGUUAUUUUGAAGAUUUUGAGGAACCCUUGUUUGAUUUGAUUAGAUUUGAAUGUUGCAUGUAUUAUAAUCUUGCAUGUACCUAAUUUAGGCAACCCUAGUUUAGUAUAUUUUAUUGAAAAGAUAUGGUUUGGAUACAUAGGUUGACAUGUUAUUUUAUAUGGAAAAGAGAUUUGUAUUAAAUCUUGCAUGAAGUAGGCCUAGUUUAGUUUAUUUGUGUUGAAGUUAUAUUUGUAUUGACAAGAAUGCUUUGGAUACAUAUGCUUUGAAUUUUGCAUCUAGUAGCCGUACUUUAGUUUAUUUGUAUUCAAAAGAUAAUUGUGUUGACAAGGAAGUUUUUUUUCAAAUUGUUAGGAUGGUUUGGCUUCUCGAUGAUCACUGGGACAAACAACACCGGUCGUACGCUAUGUCGGUGGAGCAGCGGGUAAUAAUGAAAGUUGCCGGUGUAAAUUUCGUUUUUAUUUCAAACACAAAUGCCCCAUAUGUAAUGAUUUGUUCGUUUGUUUGUAGGAGCUUGCACCUCUGAAGCUUCGGUCUCACGGGGUCACCCUUGGGUGGAUGCGCUAUGAUGAGCGGUACACACCGUAUGUAAGGGAGACAGGACUUCUCCCUUUCAUUCAGCUGGUCAGCCGGUCGACGCCACCCAACAAUGUUGUAGCACUCACCGCGCUUAUUGAUCAUUGGAGGCCAGAGACACACACUUUCCAUCUUCGGACCGGGGAGAUGACCGUGAUACUCCAGGAUAUUGCUAUGAUCACCGGUCUUCCUAUCGAUGGGAACCCUUAUGAACACCGAUUCUGAUGGGUGGCGCGCGCAGAUGCAUGCCCUUAUCGGUAUGGUUCCUCCGGAGCCUCGGGAACCAGAAGCAGAAGACAAGAAGAAGGAAAGAGUCGCAGCCGGUGCUCCUUUCACGUGGAUUACAUUAAACUUUGGUACUUGCCCUGAGGAUGCUAAUGAGGACACGGUCAAGACAUAUGCUCGUGUCUACAUGUGGUACGUGAUAUCCAGGACUAUGUUUGCUGAUGGCACAGGCAAGAAUGCUCCAUGGAUGUGGCUGAAGGCGUUGACCGUCUUCGAUAGCAAAUGGAGUUGGGGUUCAGCGACACUGGCUUACUUGUAUCGACAGGUACGAAGUUGUUUCCUUUUCACUUCAUUGAUACAUUAUCAAUGCGCUCUUGCUGUUGAUUCAACCAUGUUCUCUUUUAUGUGUAAUUGGACGAAGCCUGUUGUAGGCAAUCUGGAGGUAUUGGUGGUUGUCUGCUCGCACUUUCCAUAUGGAGUUGGGAGCGUUUGCCGGUUGGACGACCGAAGAUCAUGAAGUACGAGGAUUGGGACGACAAAGACGACCCACUACGGCUCCCCACUUGGGCUCUCAAGUGGGACGGAUGAUCACUCGGUCAUGUACAAGUUGUACAAGAGCGAGCUGGACGCGAUCACGCCUGAGCAGGUGAAUCGACAUUGCAUAAUUGAUUAUCAUGCUUGUAUCGUAACUCGAUAUCAAUUUUGCAUUCUAUCCCAUUUUGCAGGUGGAAUGGGAGCCGUAUGGAAAAGGAGAGAGUUUUGGUAACCCUAUGGAGUUCAGGCUGAAUCCGAUGUGCACUAGGGAUAGGGAUCUCUAGCAUAUGCGGUGCCCACUGAUAUGCAACUGGGUGAUUGAGCUUCACGUGCCACAUCGGGUGUUCCACCAGUUUGGUUUGUUCCAGCCACACCCGCCGGAGUGGGAGGACACGGAGAAGUUGCUACACGCGUAAGAUAUAAUUAACCUUGAGCACUUAGCAGCUUCUCGGCGGUUUCGAUGAUGCUAAUAUUCUGUUUCUAACUUGCAGGCUGGAUAGGAAAAAACAGCGAAAGAUCAAGGAUUGGGCCAAGCAUCACAGGAAGUAUGUCGUACAGUUCGCGCUUAGUGUGUAGCAAGCUAGGGCUGGAAAACGAGCCCAGCUUCGUGAGCACUGCCCGAUCGCGUUCAGCAACUAUCUCACAUGGUUUCUUGCAAGUACCCGUGUGGAGUUAUGCAAGCCGGCGUAUGUUGAGGAGAUUUUGGAAGAACCCACCGUUUUUGAUGAGGUAGCCCAGCACCAGUACAACGCAUUAGUCAGGAAAGGCAACUCAGUGAUCCCUUCAGCUCCAAUGAUGAACUUUGUGGUAUUUGCCCUUUUUUCUUUUCCAUUCGCACUAUUCAUAUCUUCGCUUGCCUAACACUUUGAUACCGUUUCUGUUCAUAGCGUGCCCAGAUCAAGAAAGCAGCUGAUGAGACCGAGACUAUUCUGGAAACAACCCCGGCUGGCAAAAGCGAUGGGGAAGGUGCACUUCGAGCAUUCAUUAAGGUUCACAUCUCCUUCAAACUAGCACUUAACAUGUGUUGCUACGUUCGAUUUCUCAUUCACUUGUACAUGUUGCAGCGCCAGGGCCAAAAGUUAAGGCGGCUACCAAACCUUUUCGGUUGUCGUGACCCCGAGUACGUAUCACCAGAACGGUCUAGGUCGGCGACACCAUCAGAUCCCACUUCGGGCCAGGGCCAUGUUGAUCCUUUGGAGGAUGAGGAUGUGGGUGUGGUCACCCAAGAGGUAUGGCAUGAGCAUAUAUCCAAUUUUUGAUGCAUUGCUAACUAUAUCCUCACACACGGUCUUUCCAUAUCUUUUGUUGAUGCAUAGGUUGCUGAUGAUAUGACCUUGGGGACGUACCAGGUUCGGUCUGCAUACAAGUUAAAGCCUAGGAAGGGAAUCAACAAGUACACACCUGAAGACUUCACCCAAAGAGGCAAAAGGACGGUCGGCACCUCGCGGAUGGCGGCUUUGGAUGACUAUUUGGAUGACGAUGUGGAUGACGUGGAGGAACCGCAGCCGGAGCCAGAGCAGGUUGCUCUUCCUAGGAAGGCGAAGAAGAGAAGCAGCAAGAGGGGGGAGGAGCGAAAAAGCGCUCAAGGAACUAGUCAUCGUCCUCUAUUUGUAAUGGUAGCUCUAUGUUGGUGGUAGCUCUAUGUUGAACUCUAUGUUGGUGGUAAUGUUGAACUUGUCGUGAUGGUCACUCUAUGUUGAACUCUAUGUUGGUGGUAAUGUUGAACUUGAAGCUCUUAGUAAUGUUAAACUUGUCGUGAUGGUCACUCUAGGAAAUGUUGAACUUGAAUUGAUUGUAUGUCUUAGCUCAGUAAUGUUGAACUUACUGUUUAUUCUGUGAUGCAACUAUCUGUGACUUAAAAUGACCCAGUUUGAGCAACAGAAGGCAGGGCAACAGAGAUGUUACAGACCUGUGUGGCGCCUAGCUUGCACGCGCCACACUAAACAGUGCAUCGCCUAGCUCGUGGGCGUUGCACUAUACAGUGUGGUGCCUGCAAGCUAGGCGCCACAUCAACACCUAGCGAAAUUUUGGACAAAACUGGAGCAACAGAGAGCAACAGAAGACGGGGCAAGUUACAGACAUGUGUGGCGCCUUGGCACAUGUGAGUUGGCACACAACUCACUACAUGCCAAGUUGGACCUCCUUUCCAUGGUCUUGCACGCACAAUCCACGGACAUAUUUCAUAUUCACAUGCACAUGCAACCGUGUAGCGCACAUUGACGUCCGAGUUCACCAGCUUGUGUGGACGAUAAUGCGUAACCGAGUAAUUGUUGAGCCACAUCUUCAAUUCCAACAAGGUUUCGAACUUAGCCCCUUUAGCAAUCCGGUUCUUGUCGUCUCCCAAAUCAUGGUGAGAGCUUGGCCUAACCCCAAGAGAUACACAUUGGCCACCAUCUACAACGGCUUCAUCCGUGAGACUAACAUCCUUGAACAAUGUAGUCCAAUGAUCCCGACCAAAUACCUGUUGGGGAACGUUUCAAAAAAAAUCCUACGCACACGCAAGAUCAUGGUGAUGCAUAGCAACGAGAGGGGAGAGUGUUGUCUACGUACCCUCGUAGACCGUAAGCGGAAGCGUUUUAUCAACGCGGUUGAUGUAGUCGUACGUCUUCACGAUCCAAGUACCGAACGCAUGGCACCUCUGAGUUCUGCACAUGCUCAGCUCGAUGACGUCCUCACCUUCUCGAUCCAGCAAGAGGGGCGAAGUAGUAGAUGAGUUCCGGCAGCACGACGGCGUGGUGACGGUGUUGGUGAAGAACAAUCUCCGCAGGGCUUCGCCUAAGCACUACGAAAACUAUGACGAAGGAUAAACUAGAGGGGACGGGGUUGCCGGCAUACGGCUUGGUGUUUCUUGAUGUGUCUUGGGUGCUAGCCCUACCCCUCUAUUUAUAUGUUGAGCCUUGGGGUCGAAACUUGGAGUAAAAGCCUCCACAAAGUCGGUUUCACCCGAAAGGCAAGAGUCCUUCUCGGACUCCAGGGCCAGACGCCAGGGUUCCCGGCAUCUGGACCCAGAUGCCAGGGACCCUGGCGUCUGGCCCCUGGACUCCGCAAAACUUCCUUUUGCGCUUUCCAAAAACCUCGUGGGCUUUCCCCUUUGGCCCAGAUAAAGUGUUCUCGUGCCCAAACAUUUCGGGAAACAUCCGGAACCCCUUCCAAUGGAUUCCGGAACCUUUUCGGAGAUCAAACACUACUAUCCACAUAUCAAUCUUUACUUCCGGACCAUUCCGGAGUUCCUCGUCAUAUCCGUGAUCUCAUCCAAAACUCCGAACAACAUUCGAUCACCAACAUACAUAACUCAUAGUACUAUAUCGUCAACGAACGUUAAGCGUGCGGACCCUACGGGUUUGAGAACUAUGUAGACAUGACCGAGACACCUCUCUGGUCAAUAACCAAUAGCGGGACCUGGAUGCCCAUAUUGGCUCCUACAUAUUCUACGAAGAUCUUUAUCGGUCAGACCGCAUAACAACAUACGUUGUUCCCUUUGUCAUCAGUAUGUUACUUGCCCGAGAUUCGAUCGUCGGUAUCUCAAUACCUAGUUCAAUCUCGUUACCGGCAAGUCUCUUUACUCGUUCUGUAAUACAUCAUCCCGCAACUAAAUCAUUAGUUAUAAUGCCUGCAAGGCUUAUAGUGAUGUGCAUUACUGAGUGGGCCCAGAGAUACCUCUCCGACAAUCGGAGUGACAAAUCCUAAUCUCGAAAUACGCCAACCCAACAAGUACCUUUGGAGACACCUGUAGAGCACCUUUAUAAUCACCCAGUUACGUUGUGACGUUUGGUAGCACACAAAGUGUUCCUCCGGUAAACGGGAGUUGCAUAAUCUCAUAGUCAUAGGAACAUGUAUAAGUCAUGAAGAAAGCAAUAGCAGAAUACUAAACGAUCAAGUGCUAAGCUAACGGAAUGGGUUAAGUCAAUCACAUCAUUCUCCUAAUGAUGUGAUCCCGUUAAUCAAAUGACAACUCAUGUCUAUGGCUAGGAAACAUAACCAUCUUUGAUCAACGGGCUAAUCAAGUAGAGGCAUACUAGUGACACUCUGUUUGUCUAUGUACUCACACAUGUAUUAUGUUUCCGGUUAAUACAAUUCUAGCAUGAAUAAUAAACAUUUAUCAUGAAAUAAGGAAAUAAAUAAUAACUUUAUUAUUGCCUCUAGGGCAUAUUUCCUUCAGUCUCCCACUUGCACUAGAGUCAAUAAUCUAGAUCACAUCGCCAUUCGAUUUAACAUCAAUAGUUCACAUCUUUAUGUGGUUAACACCCAUAGUUCACAUCGACAUGUGACCAACACCCAAAGGGUUUACUAGAGUCAGUAAUCUAGUUCACAUCGCUAUGUGAUUAACACCCAAAGAGUACUAAGGUGUGAUCAUGUUUUGCUUGUGAGAUAAUUUGAGUCAACGGGUCUGUCAUAUUCAGAUCUGCAAGUAUUUUGCAAAUUUCUAUGUCUACAAUGCUCUGCACGGAGCUACUCUAGCUAAUAGCUCCCACUUUCAAUAUGUAUCUAGAUCGAGACUUAGAGUCAUCCAGAUCGAUGUCAAAGCUUUCAUCGACGUAACUCUUUACGACAAACCUUUUGUCACCUCCAUAAUCGAGAAACAUAUCCUUAUUCCACAAAGGAUAAUUUGACCGCUGUCUAGUGAUCUACUCCUAGAUCACUAUUGUACUCCCUUGCCAAACUCAGUGUAGGGUAUACAAUAGAUCUGGUACACAGCAUGGCAUACUUUAUAGAACCUAUGGUUGAGGCAUAGGGAAUGACUUUCAUUCUCUUUCUAUCUUCUGCCGUGGUCGGGCUUUGAGUCUUACUCAAUUUUACACCUUGUAACACAUGCAAGAACUCUUUCUUUGACUGUUCCAUUUUGAAUUACUUCAAAAUCUUGUCAAGGUAUGUACUCAUUGAAAAAACUUAUCAAGCGUCUUGAUCUAUCUCUAUAGAUCUUGAUGUUCAGUAUGUAAGCAGCUUCACCGAAGUCUUUCUUUGAAAAACUCCUUUCAAAUACUCCUUUAUGCUUUCCAGAAAAUUCUACAUUAUUUUUUAUCAACAAUAUGUCAUUCACAUAUAUUUAUCAGAAAUGUUGUAGUGCUCCCACUCACUUUCUUGUAAAUACAGGCUUCACCGCAAGUCUGUAUAAAAUUAUAUGCUUUGAUCAACUCAUAAAAGCGUAUAUUCCUACUUCGAGAUGCUUGCACCAGUCCAUAGAUGGAUCGCUGGAACUUACAUAUUUUGUUAGCACCAUUAGGAUCGACAAAACCUUCUGGUUGCAUCAUAUACAACUUUUCUUUAAGAAAUCCAUUAAGGAAUGUAGUUUUGAUAUCCAUUUGCCAGAUUUCAUAAAAUGUGGCAAUUUUCUAACAUGAUUCGGAAAGACUUAAGCAUCACUACGAGUGAGAAAAUCUCAUCGUAGUCAACACCUUGAACUUUGUCAAAAACCUUUUUCGACAAGUCUAGCUUUGUAGAUAGUAACACUACUAUCAGCGUCCGUCUUCCUCUUGAAGAUCCAUUUAUUUUCUAUGGCUUGCCGAUCAUCGGGCAAAUCCAUCAAAGUCCAUACUUUGUUCUCAUACAUGGAUCAUAUCUCAGAUUUCAUGGCCUCAAACCAUUUUGCGGAAUCUGGGCUCAUCAUCACUUACUCAUAGUUCGUAGGUUCGUCAUGGUCAAGUAACAUGACCUCCAGAACAGGAUUGUCGUACCACUCUGGUGCGAAUCUCACUCUGGUUAACCUAUGAGGUUCGGUGUAACUUGAUCUGAAGUUACAUGAUCAUCAUCAUUAGCUUCCUCACUAAUUGGUGCAGGAGUCACAGGAACAGAUUUCUGUGAUGAACUACUUUCCAAUAAGGGAGCAAGUACAGUUACCUCAUCAAGUUCUACUUUCCUCCCACUCACUUCUUUCGAGAGAAACUCCUUCUCUAGAAAGGAUCCAUUUUUAGCAACGAAUGUCUUGCCUUCGGAUCUGUGAUAGAAGGUGUACCCAACAGUUUCCUUUGGGUGUGACACCCCCGAUUCAAUCGUACACUAAUCAUACACGCAAACGUGUAUGAUCAAGAUCAGGGACUCACGGGAAGAUAUCACAACACAACUCUACAAAUAAAAUAAGUCAUACAAGCAUCAUAUUACAAGCCAGGGGCAUCGAGGGCUCGAAUACAAGAGCUUGAUAAUAGACGAGUCAGCGGAAGCAACAAUAUCUGAGUACGGACAUAAGUAAACAAGAUUGCCUUAAGAAGGCUAGCACAAACUGGGAUACAGAUCGAAAGAGGCGCAGGCCUCCUGCCUGGGAUCCUCCUAAACUAUUCCUAGUCGUCGUCAGCGGCCUGCACGUAGUAGUAGGAGUCGUCGUCGACGGUGGCGUCUGGCUCCUGGGCUCCAGCAUCUGGUUGCGACAACCAGGUAGAAAGGAAAGGGGAAAAGGAGGGAGAAAGCAACCGUGAGUACUCAUCCAAAGUACUCGCAAGCAAGGAGCUACACUACAUAUGCAUGGGUAUAUGUGUAAAGGGCCAUAUCGGUGGACUGAACUGCAGAAUGCCAGAAUAAGAGGGGGAUAGCUAAUCCUGUCGAAGACUACGCUUCAGGCCACCUCCAUCUUGCAGCAUGUAGAAGAGAGUAGAUGGUAAGUUCACCAAGUAGCAUCGCAUAGCAUAAACCCUACCCGGCGAUCCUCUCCUCGUCGCCCUGUUAGAGAGAGAUCACCGGGUUGUAUCUGGCACUUGGAAGGGUGUGUUUUAUUAAGUAUCCGGUUCUAGUUGUCAUAAUCAAGGUACAACUCCAAGUCGUCCUGUUACCGAAGAUCACGGCUAUUCGAAUAGAUAAACUUCCCUGUAGGGGUGCACCACAUAACCCAACACACUCGAUCCCAUUUGGCCGGACACACUUUCCUGGGUCAUGCCCGGCCUCGGAAGAUCAACACGUCGCAGCCCUACCUAGGCACAACAGAGAGGUCAGCACGCCGGUCUAAAUCCUAUGGCGUAGGGGUCUGGGCCCAUCGCCCAUUGCACACCUCCACGUUGCGAGGGCGGCCGGAAGCAGACCUAGCCUAGCAGGCGUUCCAGUCCAAUCUGGCGCGCGCCGCUCAGUCGCUGACGUCAAGAAGGCUUCGGCUGGUACCACGACGUCGAGUGCCCAUAACUGUUCUCGCGUAGUUGGUUAGCGCGUAUAGGCCAGUGGCCAAACUCAGAUCAAAUACCAAGAUCUCGUUAAGCGUGUUAUUAUGAAGUAACCGCGAACGCCGACCAGGGCCAGGCCCACCUCUCUCCUAGGUGUCUCAACCUGCCCUGUCGCUCCGCCACAAAGUAACAGUCGGGGGCCGUCGGGAACCCAGGCCCACCUCUACCGGGAUGGAGCCACCUACCCCUUCAGCCCCCAUCUCCAAACAGUAUCAUAAGUAAUGUAACAGUAUAAAGUAUAUAACAUAUGCCCGAGAUCACCUCCCGAAGUGAUCACGGCCCAGUAGUAUAGCAUGGCAGACGGACAAGAGUGUAGGGCCACUGAUGGAACACUAGCAUCCUAUACUAAGCAGUAGGAUAGCAGGUAAGGGUAACAACUGUAGCAACAAUGACAGGCUAUGCAGCAGAAUAGGAUUAACCGAAAGCAGUAACAUGCUACACUACUCUAAUACAAGCAGUAUAGAGAAGAAUAGGCGAUAUCUGGUGAUCAAGGGGGGGCUUGCCUGGUUACUCUGGCAAGUAGGGGUCGUCAACAACGUAGUCGAUCGGGCCACCAGCAGCGGCGUCAGUCUCAUAGUCUACCGGAGAGAAGAGGGGAAGAAACAAUGAAUACAAUGCAAACAGAUGCAUAACGAUGCAUGACAUGUCAAGUAACGGUGCUAGGAGUGCCCUAACGCGGUAGUAGGUGAUACCGGCGAAGGGAGGAAACAUCCGGGAAAGUAUUCCCGAUGUUUCGCGUUUUCGGACAGAUGAACCGGAGGGGGAAAGUUGCGUGUUUGCUAUGCUAGGGGUGUGUGGCAGAUGAACGGACUGCGUAUUCGAAUUCGUCUCGUCGUUCUGAGCAACUUUCAUGUACAAAGUUUUUUUCAUCCGAGAUACGGUUUAUUUUAUAUGAUUUUUCAAAGUUUUAAAUGAUUUUCUAAAUUUCUAGACUCAAUUUAAGUCAAAAUACUAAAUGAGAAAACUGCUAUGUGUACCCAGAGGGUAACAAGCCUCUUAGUAUGACAGGUGGGGGUCCAGGGGUCUAGUCAACAGUGCAGUCAAAAGGUUGACCAGUCAAAGUUUGACUGGUCAACAAGGUCAAGGGACCCACAUGUCAUGGGGUGUAAAAUUUAACUAGCACUAAAUAAAUCUAACAUGGCCUUUUAACCGAUUUUAUUUAAGUUACUUAGGGUGUUGGGUCCCAUAUGUCAGUGUGGCAUUAGUUAAAUUAGUUAGCACUUUAGUUGAUUAAUGGGACGGGGCCCGGUUGACAGUGAGAGGGGAAAGGUGAUUAGCACCCUAAUUAAGCCGGAUAGGCCGGCGGUUAACUGGAGCACAGCGGCGUUGGCCGUCCGGCCAACUCCGGCGUCGGGAGGGCGCGCGGCUAGGCGUGUUAGAACGCCUCCAGAGAGGCGAGUGGGGUGGUGCCCAUGGUUCCUGCCAAGGCCGCCGAAGUCGCCGGCGGUGAGCAUGACCGCGAUGGCUGCAGAGAAGCGGCUGCGCGGAAGAGCAGCAGUGGCGGAGCUCGCGAGUGAGGGUGGGGGUACGGCCACGGCAGGCGCAGGGGCUCGCGGUGAGCACGGUCUGCGGCGAGCGCGGACGAGGAUGGCCGCGGUGACCAUGGGCGUCUAUCCGCGGUGCGCACGAGCGAUGGUGGGACAACGAGUAAAGCAGAGAGGGGAAGAAGGGAGCGCACAGUAGGAGCUCACAGCGAACAGGGUUCGGGGAAGUGCUCGGGGAGGCCGGCAGCGCCAUGGCAGAGCGACGUGGAGGAAGUCGAGGCGCGCAGGGCGGUGACGAGAUGCGGGCGAGCGCCGGCCACGACCGGGCGCGGCCAAGGGAGGCGCAGGGCGGCGCCAACGGCAGGGGCGGGCGGAAGAAGGCGGCGAAUGGUGGUGAAGCGGUCGUGGGCGGCGAGCGACGGCGGGGUCCUCGGGCGACGAAGGGAUCGUGCGUGCGUGCCCGAUCUAGUACGGGGGAGAGGAGGAACGAGGGGAGAGAGUGGGGUGGGGAUCGUGGGGGUCGUGGCUAGGGUUCGGGCACGGCAGGCCAGGGGCGCGGGUGGGCCGGGGGGCCAGCCAGCUGGGCCGCGGCCUAGUUGGCCGGGGGGGUUUUCUUCUUCUAUUUUUUUGUUUAUUUUCUUUUAAAAAUUUCUUUUCUAUUCAUUUACUUUCCCUAUAGUUUUCAAUUUAUUUUAGUUUCAAAAAUAUAAAAACAGCUCCUAAAUCAGUAUAGCUAAAUAUACCACUUCCACAUUUAAUUAUGGCACCCAAGUAAAAUAGUUUAACAUUUUAUUAAUUAUAAAAGGCAUUAUUUAAUUGAUUAAGCCACUGUUUUAUUUAUUUUAGUGCCCUUAAUUAUUUAUAAAAAAUGUGGGUUCUCCACCAUUAUUACUUAGGAUUUAUUUGUCACAUUUAGUACAUUUUAGUUUUUAUGUUUGAAAAAUUUAUCGUUUAACUUUAUUUUAAAUUUGAAUUCCAACGGGACUUGGUUUACCGCGAGAUUAACAACAGUAACCAUGGUGACGUGGCAUCAUUAGCAGAGGGUUACUAUAGCUUAACUAUCCGGGCAUCACAUUGGGUAUCCUAUGAAGACACAUUUCUCCGAUUUGGGUUUGAGCUUAUCAGGAUAAAACUUUUUCACAUAAGCAUCGCAACCCCAAAUUUUAAGAAACGACAACUUUGGUUUCUUGCCAAACCACAGUUCAAAUGGUGUCGUCUCAACGGAUUUAGAUGGUGCCCUAUUAAUUGUGAAUGCAGCUGUCUCUAAUGCAUAACCCCAAAAUGAUAGUGGUAAAUCGGUAAGAGACAUCAUAGAUUGCACCAUAUCUAAUAAAGUACUGUUACGAUGUUCGGACACACCAUUACGCUGUGGUGUUCCGGGUGGCGUGAGUUGUGAAACUAUUCCGCAUUGUUUUAAAUGAAGACCAAACUCGUAACUCAAAUAUUCUCCUCCACGAUCAGAUCGUAGAAACUUUAUUUCUUGUUACGAUGAUUUUCAACUUCACUUUGAAAUUCUUUGAACUUUUCAAAUGUUUGAGACUUAUGUAUCAUCAAGUAGAUAUACCCAUAUCUGCUCAAAUCAUCUGUGAAGGUCAGAAAAUAACGAUACUUGCCGCGAGCCUUAACACUCAUCGGACCGCAUACAUCAAUAUGUAUUAUUUCCAAUGAGCCAGUUGCUCGCUCCAUUGUUCCGGAGAACGGAGUCUUAGUCAUCUUGCCCAUGAGGCAUGGUUCGCAAGCAUCAAGUGAUUCAUAAUCAAGUGAUUCAUAAUCAAGUGAUUCCAAAAGCCCAUCAGCAUGGUGUUUCUUCAUGCGCUUUAGACCAAUAUGACCUAAACGGCAGUGCCACAAAUUAGUUGCACUACCAUUAUUAACUUUGCAUCUUUUUGGCUUCAAUAUUAUGAAUAUGUGUAUCACUACGAUCGAGAUCCAACAAACCAUUUUCAUUGGGUGUAUGACCAUAAAAGGUUUUAUUUGUAAAUAGAACAACAAUUAUUCUCUAACUUAAAUGAAUAACUGUAUUGCAAUAAACAUGAUCAAAUCAUAUUCAUGCUCAACGCAAACACCAAAUAACACUUAUUUAGGUUCAACACUAAUCCCGAAAGUAUAGGGAGUGUGUGAUGAUGAUCAUAUCAAUCUUGGAACUACUUCCAACACACAUCGUCACUUCACCCUUAACUAUUCUCCGUUCAUUCUGCAACUCCCGUUUCGAGUUACUAAUCUUAGCAACUGAACUAGUAUCAAAUACUGAGGGGUUGCUAUAAACACUAGUAAAGUACAGAUCAAUAACAUGUAUAUCAAAUAUAGCUUGUUCACUUUGCCAUCCUUGUUAUCCGCCAAAUACUUGGGGUAGUUCCGCUUCCAGUGACCAGUCCCUUUGCAGUAGAAGCACUUAGUCUCAGGCUUAGGUCCAGGCUUGGGCUUCUUCACUUGAGCAGCAACUUGCUUGCCGUUCUUCUUGAAGUUCCCCUUCUUCCCUUUGCCCUUUUCCUUGAAACUAGUGGUCUUGUCAACCAUCAACACUUGAUGCUUUUCUUGAUUUCUACCUUCGUCGAUUUCAGCAUCACGAAGAGCUUGGGAAUCGUUUCCGUUAUCCCUUGCAUAUUAUAGUUCAUCACGAAGUUCUAGUAACUUGGUGAUAGUGACUAGAGAACUGUGUCAAUCAGUAUCUUAUCUGGAAGAUUAACUCCCACUUGAUUCAAGUGAUUAUAGUACUCAGACAUUCUGAGCACAUGCUCACUAGCUGAGCAAUUCUCCUCCAUCUUGUAGGCAAAGUACUUGUCAAAGGUCUCACACCUUUCGACAUGGGCAUGAGUCUGAAAUACUAAUUUCAACUCUUGGAACAUCUCAUAUGCUCCGUGGCGUUUCAAAAACGUCUUUGAAGCCCCGAUUCUAAGCCGUAAAGCAUGGUGCACUAAACUAUCAAGUAGUCAUCAUACUGAGCUUUUGUCAAACGUUCAUAACGUCUGCAUCUGCUCCUGCAAUAGCUCUGUCACCAAGCGGUGCAUUUAAGGACAUAAUACUUCUAUGCAGCAAUGAGGUUAAUCCUCAUAUCACGGACCAAGUCUGCAUCAUUGCUACUAACAUCUUUCAACAUAGUUUUUCUCUAGGAACACAUCAAAAUAAGCGAGGAGCAACAUCGCGAGCUAUUGAUCUACAACGUAGAUAUGCUAAUACUACCAGGACUAAGUUCAUGAUAAAUUAAAGUUCAAUUAAUCAUAUUACUUAAGAACUCCCACUUAGAUAGACAUCCCUCUAAUCAUCUAAGUGAUCACGUGAUCCAUAUCAACUAAACCAUGUCCGAUCACCACGUGAGAUGGAGUAGUUUCAAUGGUGAACAUCACUAUGUUGAUCAUAUCUACUAUAUGAUUCACGCUCGACCUUUCGGUCUUAGUGUUCCGAGGCCAUAUCUGCAUAUGCUAGGCUCGUCAAGUUUAACCUGAGUAUUCCGCGUGUGCAAAACUGUCUUGCACCCGUUGUAUUUGAACGUAGAGCUUAUCACACCCGAUCAUCACGUGGUGUCUCAGCACGAAGAACUUUCGCAACGGUGCAUACUCAGGGAGAACACUUAUACUUUGAAGUUUAGUGAGAGAUAAUCUUAUAAUGCCACCGUCGAUCUAAGCAAAAUAAGAUGUAUAAAAGAUAAACAUCACAUGCAAUCAAAAUAUGUGACAUGAUAUGGCCAUCAUCAUCUUGUGCCUUUGAUCUCCAUCUCCAAAGCAUCGUCAUGAUUUCCAUCGUCACCGGCAUGACACCAUGAUCUCCAUCAUCUUGAUCUAUAUCAAUGUGUCGUCACAUGGUCGUCUCGCCAACUAUUGCUCUUGCAACUAUUGCUAUCGCAUAGCGAUAAAGUAAAGCAAUUAUUUGGCGCUUGCAUCUUAUGCAAUAAAGAGACAACCAUAAGGCUUCUGCCAGUUGCCGAUAACUUCAACAAAACAUGAUCAUCCUAUACAACAACUUAUAUCUCAUCACGUCUUGACCAUAUCACAUCACAACAUGCCCUGCAAAAACAAGUUAGACGUCCUCUACUUUGUUGUUGCAAGUUUUACGUGGCUGCUACGGGCUGAGCAAGAACCGUUCUUACCUACGCAUCAAAACCACAACGAUAGUUCGUCAAGUUGGUGCUGUUUUAACCUUCACAAGGACUGGGCGUAGCCACACUCGGUUCAACUAAAGUUGGAGAAACUGACACCCGCUAGUCACCUGUGUGCAAAGCACGGCGGUAAAACCAGUCUCGCGUAAGCGUACGCGUAAUGUCGGUCCGGGCCGCUUCAUCCAACUAUACCGCCGAACCAAAGUAUGACAUGCUGGUAAGCAGUAUGACUUGUAUCGCCCACAACUCACUUGUGUUCUACUCGUGCAUAUAACAUCUACGCAUAAAACCUGGCUCGGAUGCCACUGUUGGGGAACGUAGUAAUUUUAAAAAAAAAUCCUACGCACACGCAAGAUCAUGGUGAUGCAUAGCAACGAGAGGGGAGAGUGUUGUCUACGCACCCUCGUGACCGUAAGCGGAAGCGUUUUAUCAACGCGGUUGAUAUAGUCGUACGUCUUCACGAUCCAACCGAUCCAAGUACCGAAUGCACGACACCUCCGAGUUCUGCACACGUUCAGCUCGAUGACGUCCUCGCCUUCUCGAUUAGCAAGAGGGGCGAAGUAGUAGAUGAGUUCCGGCAGCACAACGGCGUGGUGACGGUGUUGGUGAAGAACAAUCUCCGCAGGGCUUCGCCUAAGCACUACGAAAACUAUGACGGAGGAUAAACUAGAGGGGACGGGGUUGCCAGCACACGGCUUGUUGUUUCUUGAUGUGUCUUGGGUGCUAGCCCUACCCCUCUAUUUAUAUGUUGAGCCUUGGGGUCGAAACUUGGAGUAAAAGCCUCCACAAAGUCGGUUUCACCCGAAAGGCAAGAGUCCUUCUCGGACUCCAGGGCCAGACGCCAGGGUUCCCGGCGUCUGGACCCAGACGCCAGGGACCCUGGUGUCUGGCCCCUGGACUCCGCAAAACUUCCUUUUGCGCUUUCCAAAAACCUCGUGGGCUUUCCCAUUUGGCCCAGAUAAAGUGCUCUCGUGCCCAAACAUUUCGGGAAACAUCCGGAACCCCUUCCGAUGGAUUCCGGAACCUUUUCGGAGAUCAAACACUACUAUCCACAUAUCAAUCUUUACUUCCGGACCAUUCCGGAGUUCCUCGUCAUAUCCGUGAUCUCAUCCAAAACUCCGAACAACAUUCGGUCACCAACAUACAUAACUCAUAGUACUACAUCGUCAACGAACGUUAAGCGUGCGGACCCUACGGGUUCAAGAACUAUGUAGACAUGACCGAGACACCUCUCUGGUCAAUAACCAAUAGUGGGACCUGGAUGCCCAUAUUUGCACCUACAUAUUCUACGAAGAUCUUUAUCGGUCAGACCGCAUAACAACAUACGUUGUUCCCUUUGUCAUUGGUAUGUUACUUGCCCGAGAUUCGAUCAUCGGUAUCUCAAUACCUAGUUCAAUCUCGUUACCGGCAAGUCUCUUUACUCGUUCCGUAAUACAUCGUCCCGCAACUAACUCAUUAGUUACAAUGCUUGCAAGGCUUAUAGUGAUGUGCAUUACUGAGUGGGCCCAGAGAUACCUCUCCGACAAUCGGAGUGACAAAUCCUAAUCUCGAAAUACGCCAACCCAACAAGUACCUUUGGAGACACCUGGAGAGCACCUUUAUAAUCACCCAGUUACGUUGUGACGUUUGGUAGCACACAAAGUGUUCCUCCGGUAAACGGGAGUUGCAUAAUCUCAUAGUCAUAGGAACAUGUAUAAGUCAUGAAGAAAGCAAUAGCAGAAUACUAAACGAUCAAGUGCUAAGCUAACGGAAUGGGUCAAGUCAAUCACAUCAUUCUCCUAAUGAUGUGAUCCCGUUAAUCAAAUGACAACUCAUGUCUAUGGCUAGGAAACAUAACCAUCUUUGAUCAACGAGCUAGUCAAGUAGAGGCAUACUAGUGACACUCUGUUUGUCUAUGUACUCACACAUGUAUUAUAUUUCCGGUUAAUACAAUUCUAGCAUGAAUAAUAAACAUUUAUCAUGAAAUAAGGAAAUAAAUAAUAACUUUAUUAUUGCCUCUAGGGCAUAUUUCCUUCAAUACCUUCUCGAAAGCUUCAGCCUCCUUCACCGUGAACCCCUCCGCAUCAACUUGUUCAUCGGGACCAUCGUCAUCCGAGUCCGAUGCAUAUGCACGGGAAAAAGGGAUGGAAUGGUCCAUUGUCUCUUGCAAUUGAUAUUUAUCGAGAUCACCCACGUUGUUGUCAUGGAGAUCAACUUCAUUGUCAUUGUCCGCAUACUCAUCAUUGUCCUCUUGCAAAGCUUCAUCUUGGUUGUUUGUAAACGGGCUCAAUGUUGGCCUCACUUAUUGGGUCAAAAGAGGUUCAACAAUUUCAUCUCACUUCAAGGGUGGGGGGCUACUAGCAACCAAAGGGGAGGGGUUCCGGUUCAAGUCCAAAUGCAAACUUGAAUCAACCUUCUUCGUUGCAAAUAACUCAAGAGCCUUGUCUAGUGAUUCGGCCACCGUCUCCUUGUAUGCAACCCAACGUUGCUCCGAGUUGACACGCAUUGUCUUUCAACGGAUGUGCAUUCCAAAACCAACAUUACGCCUUCCCUCCAACUCAACGAUAUCACUAGGGUCCAUCCAAUUCAAAUAUUUCGUAACUUGUUGCAAGAGCUCCGCAUAGCUAGGACUACUAUCAAACACCAUGUCAAGCUCAUCCGGGUCCGGUUCAAUGUUGCCUUUCAAGAAGGCGUCUUUGUUCCCAUGAACAAACACACAUGUUCUUCCCAUCCCUAUAAGCAUUCAAAGAACACAAGGUAACAUUUCUUCCAUGAGUACUAAUCCAAGGAUUAACACGGAAUACAAACCCUAAUAUAUAUAUAUCAAACAACAACCCUAACCCUAGCCCUAGCACCAACAUAAGAACACCCAUAAGAAUAACCCUAACAUACUAACAAAGCCUAAUCAUAGGAAAUUGGCAAACAAACAUCUCACAUCUCCAUGCAAAUCUCUAGAUCCAAACAAAACUAGGGUUUCCCCAAACUAGCAACAAAUGAGCAAUUUGAUAACAUUACUUGGAUCAAAACAAGGGGAUCGGAGAAGAUUACCUUGAGGGAGGGUUUGACUUCGAAAUCCACGGACAAAUUCUUCAAAUUUGCAAGAUUUGGGAGAGGAUUUGAGAGGGGGAGGGAGUGGGAGAUGGGGCAAAGCUCGGGUUGGAGUGUGUGGUGUGGGGGGGGAGUGGGGGAGGAGGGGCCAGCCAAGUGACUGGAUAAGUCACAGUGCAGCGCCUACGCACUAGGCGCUGCACUUUAAAUGUGUGGCGCCUAGCACGGAGGCGCUGCACGUUACAUGUGUGGCGCCUAGCUCGGAGGCACGGUGGACCGGCGUGCAACGCCCCAGAGCUAGGCGCUGCACCGUAGGGUGUGGCGCUUGCGUGGCGGGCGCUACACAAAAAAGUCAUCGGCGUGAAAUAGUUUCACGGGCAGUUCAGUCUGUGAAUUGAUUUUGUCCAGAAGUCAAAAUUGUCAAAUUUGCCUAGGAUCCCAUGGUCACCGAAAAAAGCGCCCCCUUUCUCUUCCGUCUCCCAUAAUUGACGGGUCAAUCUCUACUCUGAAUGGACGAGUUGGUGAAUAGUCUCCAUGGUUUAUUUUGGCUGGUUUUUUUCGUCAAUCCUCCCACCUCCCUCGCACCCAAGCACGAUGCCCCCUGGCGCGAGAAAAAAACCGGACGACGACCGCCCUCGCGAAAAAGAACCGUACGACGACCCCUCACACGAAGAAAAAAACUAACGAUCUCUCCCUCCGCCUGGGAACUCGAUCUGGAUCACGGCGGCGGCGGCGGCGGCGACUCCUCUCUCUCUCUCUCUCUCUCUCUCUCUCUCUCUCUCCGCGCACCGAUGCAUCCCCCGGAGCCCUGCCCACCUCCUCCCUUUUCAGCGCCCACAUCGCGACCCCUGUGGCUACUCCACUCUUGAGGCGUCGUGGAGGUUACGGAAACCCGAUGGCGUUGGCUUGCCGGAGAUGAAGAAGACAGCCAGGUGAUGCGGUACUCGGGAGGUGGAAUUGGCAACGGAGGUGGCUCCAUAUGGAUGUCGCGGACCUCCCACUGGAUGGAAUCGAAGUGGGACGAUGUGCUUCGGUCGUCAACGGCGGCUGCGCGGGAUGCAGUAUGGUAUGGAUCGGGCAUCUCGAGGAUGGGCUUUCUUCGCAAGGCUCGUCCACGCCAGUACGCUCUCUGAUCUGAACCUUCUUCUCUUUGCUCACGCACGCACAGACACAGACGUACCUGACCCGUCGUUGAACAGCAGCGGAGGUGUUUGAGGAGUCUGUCCCGGGGUUGCUCGUGAAGCAUGUCGACGUCUCCGUCUUGCCAUUGCUCAAAACACCGCCCUGCCGGCUGGGUCCUUAUUUGCCAUCGAGGCCUUCCGCAACAUGGUCCAUGAUGCCUGAUUGCUUCCUCUUUGGCUGGAUCGGGUCCAACCACACAGUAAGCUAUGCCUCGUCUUCCGUCUUCUUUCUUAAAUUUUCUAUGGUUCUUGGUCUGAUUCUCAAUAAAGAGCUCAAACUCGUCUUGAGUUUUUGGUUAUGGCCUGCACUAUAUUGUUGGUACAGAUUAUUGUACUACUGUCUUGAGUGGCAAAUAUUUACUGAGAUGGGAUAAUAGGUAUACUAUUUUUCUAUUUCAAGACUGAAAUAUGAUUUCUUCCUGCUCUAUGUCAAUUUAAUUUUUUUCUGAAUAAUUUACCAACACAGUGCAGGUUGAUGUGUGUAGCACGUGUUAACAAAAUCUCAAUUAUCUGCAUGGUAUAUAUAUCUCUAAUCAUUGUCUUUUCCAGAAUGAAGAGAAGGUAUGAGAAAGAUAAUACUAAUAUUCCCUAUACAUUUGACUUUUAACUUUUACCAGAUUCUUGGAUUCCUCAAAAUCAUGUCUAUUAGUGUUUCUUCUAUAUAUAUAUAUGCAUGAUCUUUCCUUUUGAAAUUCUCAUUAUGUACAUGAUUUUUGCUACUGCUGGCCUUGAAUUGGCACUGAUUUGGGCCACCUUGUUGAAUGAUUCGUGCACGGAUGUGUUUCGUUGGUCUUUUGCGGCAUGUGGGGAGCGUAAACUGGAAGAACGUGUGCAGCAGGCAUCGCUGCUGCGCUGGACGACGUUGUGCGAGGCCAUGGCCAUGGACGAUGUGCUGUUGGAGAACGACGCAGGGCUAAGGUAGUCGAUGUGAACGACCACUGGGUAUGUAAUGGUUUAGUCCUCCUGAAUUUGCACUCUGUUUUUUAGUCCUCUGUAGUGUUGUUCAAUUUGGGCAGGGCUUACAUUCUCUCAUAGGAUCAGACCAAACAAGGUCUCAUAAGCUUUGCUGUUGUUUUGUUCGAAACAUAAAAACAUCCAUUAUCGAGGAAAGAGUCAUUCUCACAUAGCGAUUUGUUUGCCUCCUUUCAGAAUUCCAAUUGCUUAUGGAUUCGUAUGAUGCAGCCUACAUGUUCCCAUCACCCAGUAAAAUAUAGACAUUAAUUAUUGCAUCUGGGUUUAUAUUAUGCAUCCCCACUGCCAGUUUCAUUGUUAAGUAGGAACGAAGAUUACAUUUAUAAAUGAUAUAUGUAUGUAAUUGUGUGCUGCAUUCUUGCUGCUUCCAGUAGAUGUACUAUCUUUUCAGCGUUGACUUUUAAAGCGUUUUUGCUGACAAGAAGCUUAUCAGUCGUAAUGUUCAGCACCUACAUUACCCGAUGGUCAUGUAGUGCUAGGGAAAUAGAUAUACAAUAUGUUAUAAAGGAUAAGACAAAUAAUUAUUGGGUGUGAAAGAUCAGGAUGGAAGCAUUUUUUUUGCUAUCAUAUGAAUUAUUGAAUACAAUCUCGUAUGCAACCCCUCAAAAUUAGAUUUAAUUCAUGCUCGUACACCAUCACUUAAGUAGGAAAAGAGAAGUAUUUCUAAGGCUACUCUAUAUCUUAUUUUUCUUUCACAGCAUAUAUAUUAUUAGUUAUAUGUUUGCCUGGGUAGGAAAGUAACAAUCAAUCCCUCAAAAUAAAAGGAAACUAAUGAUCAAGACCUUAGCUGGCUGACGGUAACUCCAUUCAUUCUCAUCCAAUUAUUAUUAUUUUAGUUAUUUUUCUAUUCUCAUGGGUAGGUUUCUUCUGUGUUGUUUUGCUUUAGUUUCGUAGUUGUCACUCCCAUGUAUUUCUUCGACGAGGAGGCGUGGACACGAGGCCUAACUAUCCGGUAUAAAUUGGUUUUCCCACUGUAGCUGUGAGAUUGGAUUGUUGUUCCCUUUUCUGCACAUGAUUGUUCCACUUGUGAUUUAUCAUAUAUGAAUUGCUACUUGACAUCCUUUUGAUCCAGCGUGAUUUCUUGCUUAUUCUCAUCUUGUUGACUACUGGUUGUGUUUGUUCUCUCGCCAAAGGUCGGGACUUUGAGUUGCCUGCCAUGGUGGAGCUCGGGAUGUUGGCAGAUCUGACCGGACUGGUGAGCACUCUGCCCACACUUGCCGAGGUCGCCCUGCUCUGUGCCAUGCUCGGUAACUCACCCUCGCUGAUGGGAAUGUUAUGCACAAGAUGCUGAUGAAGUUGUGUACUGAUUCAAUGAACUGAAUUUUAAUUAGCUGAUGGUGAUGAUAUAUUUUUUGUGAACUAAAAAAAGCGUAUCCCCAUAAUGGUGCUUUUAGGAAAUGGCGAAUUUAUGUAUCCUUAUCAGCCUUAUACUAAUGCAUGUAUCUGUAUCGGUGCAUUCUUGGAUUUCAUGUAUAAGCCGCUCAAGAGAAAUUUAAAUAAGGUUGUUAUGUUUCAGCAUACUAUACAUGCUUUCCCGUAGACAAUGCUGCAAUACUGUCAUGUGAUAACUGGUACUGAUAUAAGGACCCUUAUCUUCAGUGCCAUUUGGAGUAACAGUCUACAAUGCCACAACACUUUGUUGGACCUAUUUUUGGCGUUUCUUCUGCCAGGUAUCUCUAUGAUUUAAGUAGAUAGAAGUUAUUAAUUACACGUUCAUUGUGGUAGACCGAUUGCCUCUCUUCUACAAUUGGAAAUCUGUUAUGUUCUGAUGAGAUGCUAUCAUAUGACUAAUAUGUAACUGGUGAUGUUUUAUGUCUCAUAGUUAAACUUUGUUUCAUAUUUCGAAUUGGUUAUUGAACAUUUUUGUUUCCAUGACAGUAGAUCUAUAUCGGGAUUUAUAGCAUAUGCUCUAUGUGCAGCUGAUGAGUCUUUUAGGGAUGCAAAUUGUCUGCCUUCGAAAAAUCAGAAGAAUGAAAGAAUGGGAUUUAUAGCAUAUAUGCUCUAUGUGCAGCUGAUGAAGCUUUGAGAGAUGAAAAUUGGUUGCCUUUGGAAAAUAAGAAGAAGGAAAGAACGGUACCAAUUGCUUUUAGUGGAAGUUCUUUUCCUUUUUUGUAUUUUUGCCGAGUCGCUGGAUCUGAUUAGAGCUUUUAUCAGGGUGUUUCAAUUGGUGGGGGAAUCGGAAACAUCUCAGACAUUUUAAAUGCAUGACUGCUGAUUGCUGAAAAUGUCCGUACCCACAGUCACUACAAUUUGUUUUAUUCUCAUUCUUUUCCUUUUCGUUGAUGAAGAUAAGAUCGAUGGUCUAUCAUGCAUGCAUGUAGGAGCAGAUUUCCUAAUCUGUUGGGCUAAUAUUGUUAGUUCAGAUUUGGAGACCCAUAUUUUUUGCUCACAGCGAUGUCUAGAACAUUAUUGUAUCUAGCAGAUAUUAAUAAUUUUAUCUCCAGAGUAAAGCCAUAUAUACAAGAUGGCUAUGCUAAUUAAACAUUAUUUGAUGAAUUUAUUAGGAAAUAUGCAGUUAUGGAUCCAUUCUAUAGUUGGAAUAUGAGACUCCAUAUGUGUGUGUAUGUUUAUUCUUGCUUGAAUCUGGUGCUGAAGGUGUGAACAGGUGAGUCCUACUUACAAGUUCGUCUAAAGAAUUUUCAUGUUUUAAAGCCAUUGAGACAUUUAUCCCUCCACCUUCUAUAUCUAUUUAUCGUCAAUUAGUGCAAUAGUGGUCUCUGGUGUAUUACCCAUUCCACACUACCUUGUUUCCUUUUCGUUUUGGGGAUUAUUUGCAGUGGAAAUUAUUGUUUGUGCUUGCCACUCAUUAAAUCGUCUUUGAAAAUCUAACGAGCGGAAGCAGAAUAGCUCAUUUUAUACCAUUGGUUGCAGUUUUACAUCCACAUUGCCAAUUUGUAUUUUUUUAAGCACAAGCAAUAGUUAUGUGCAUCAAUCGCAUAUUCUUCUGAUAAUACUAAAUUCAAUAUGCGGAUCAAUCUUUAUAUAUAUAUAAGAAACCAAUUGGUGAUCCUUUGUACAUAGAAUAAUCAGGGUCCGAUUCACUUGGAUGUACCUCAAUUUGCUGUUAUAUGAUUUACUGUUUUAGGUUGUAGUGGUAGCACAAAAAGUCAUAAUAGGGAAUUAAUGAGUAACAGUUGACUUAGAUAGUGUUUGAGUAUGUUUCUCCUAAAGCUAAUUGAUUUUAUUAAGCAUUCAUAAGUUCUUAGAAAUUCAGAUAGCCAUUUUCUCUAGGCUGCAAUAUGUGUGGAUCAGUUGAUGCUCAAUAUUUUCUGGAUAUUACAUGAACUGUGAAAUACAUUUUUCUCUCUUAGGUUUUAACCUUUGGGUGGGGGUAUUUUUUGUAACAUGGAAUAGUGAUGAAAAUCAUUUCUAGAAUUUAUAAUGAGCAGUUAUGUUCUAACUUUCUCUGGCUGUAGAAUUACUGGAGAUGGGUUAGUAGUUUUACCCUUUCAAUUAGCAUGAAUUUAUAUAGAAGGUUGGUUUUGAACUAAAUUGAUGCCCUCUUGUUCACUGAUUAUCUAUGAACUGAAAUGAUGUCUGGCUAUAGUACAUUGGUCUUUCAUAUGUUGGUUAUGCAUACAUGGCCUUAGCUUAUCCUUCUCUACUUUCAUUUCACUAAAAAUGGAAAUAUCGCCUGAAACUUUUAUGCAUGUGCUACUGCUACUACAUGACCGACUUGACCAAGCCCACUCAUCCAAGACUAUCAAUUUACCGCAACCUCCAAGUUAUGGCGACGCAUGGGCGGGGCAGCCACUCCCUAGAUCCCGUUAGCACAAUGUCAUAAAAAUAUAUUUAUGCUGAUUGUUGCGCAAAGUAGAAGGCUAUUGUUUGUAGUUAUUAGUUUAUUUCCUCUAUAUAGAAUGACACGGUUUAUUGUGUGUCCAAGAGGAAGGAAAAAUAGAUUUAUAGGUGUUAUGUGACUUACCUUUUAAAAGGAAUAACUUCAUGCUAUUGAGUCUUCACUAUUUGCUUCACAGAAUUAUGGCCAUAAUAAGAAAGUCCAUCAUGGAGUAUAUAUAACAUCGUUUUCUAUUAUUCUGCAACUCUAUCUACCCCUAAUAAGAAGUCCAUCUAUUUUAGAUGGUGAGUUGAUGAAAUUUGUUCCCUAAAAUGUAUGCGGUAAUUUGGGUUGUACCCAAAUAUCUCCUUUUCCUUCAAAUAAAUUAUCCCCGGAACUAUCUGUUUUGAGUAAACAUUUCUUAAACGUAGGCACGUUUCAACCGCUAACCAAGCCCGACCACCAUCACAUGUUUAGUGCGUGGAUUCUGCCAGUGUCAUAAUAAUUUUUUUGAGGUUUGCCAGUGUCAUAAUAUUGGCAUAAUCACCACGUGUGCGGGGGAAUAUCAUAUAUCCAUAAACUUUUUUCCAGUGGAACAUUAUCAUGACAAACCAGUCAAUUUUUUAAAAUGCCUGUGGCAACGCACGGGCAUUCUACUAGUCAAGGUAGAGACCCACUAAGGCCUCGUUUGGUUGAAAGGUACCCCGGGGGAUCCCCGCCAUUUCCCCGGUUGAGAAAAGCACGGGGCUGACUUGGCCCGGGCUAGCGGACCGUGCCAUUUGGUAGCACGCGAGGUGUGAAGGACCCUAGGCUUUCCUCGGCCUUUCCCUGGAUAGAUCUCCCCAGUGUCGACAGGUCGGGGAGAAAACCCUCGACUCGCUCGAUCUCUCUUGCGAGUUGCGACAGAGAGGCGACGCCCGCCGCCUCCAGUCCAUCCUCCGGCCUCCGGCUCUGCGCUUCUCCGUCCGGCGACACGAAAGCGACGCCCCCGCCCCUACCCCUCCCUCAAGCCGCCUCCACUCGCUCCUCCUCUCUGGUGACGGCCCGGGGUCCUCAUCGUCCAUCUUCCAUGGAUCUCCCCUACGCAACCAAGGUUAUCCCCUUCACCUCCUCUUCCACCCCAGCAUCCUCCUCCCCACGAGGUAGUGCUUCACGUAGAUUGGCAUGUCCCAGCCGGUUGCCAUCCGGAAACCUGCAGACUACAGUGGUUGCUCUGUUAUUUCGAGUGCUGGUCGGAUACUUCUUGUCCUUGUUGCUGAAGAAGAACCAAACGUUCUGGUCUUGUGUUCUAAUAUUGUUCUGUUUGAGCAUCGUUUGAGGGUAGUGCAUACAAAACUGAAUUUCAUGCAUGGACUAGUAUGCCAUUCUUCUUCUAAUCAUACUAUUACAAUCACAUAUACAGAGUAGUGUCAUACAUAGGCAAUCUUGUUUGAUUAUAUUGCAUAACAUGCAUGAGGGUAGUCGUCAUUACCUUGUAUUAGAUCCCAAGGCUCAUUUUGCACAAAUCAACAUCUUUAAGUCAAUCCUCUUCGAUUUUAUCUUGUUGCUCAAUUAGUAUAUGCACAAUGUUUUCGUAUUCUUGGAAGGGAAAAUUUAUUGUGGGUGGUUUCAAUCGAGGUAGGGUUGAUGCAUCUGUGUUGGCUAUAUUCCGAAGACGGCAAAUUGCUCUGCCCUAAAUUGUAAGUGUUGGAUCGUGUGUUGAAUGCAGGUGCUUUGACAUUAGCAAGUCUUUUGCUUUAUCCGAAUACGCUUGGUGAUGGCGCCGUGUUCAGUGGUACACAACGAGAUGUGAUGAAGCUUAAAUUUAUUGGUUGGUAUCAAUUGAACGACUUGUCAACAAGAGAUGUGGUUGGUGAUGUUUAUGUCCUGCCUUGUCAUUGCCUUUUCAAUAGAAAUAUUUUUUGCACUUAUUUUAUUUGAUUGAACUAGUCUUGAUGAAAGCACCUGAAAGAUGUAUUAGGAUGUGCUAAGCUUAGUAUCUGCCAUUUUGGAUUAAUGACUAUGUUGGUAGGUUAAUAACAUUUUGAUGUGGCUGGUCUACCAUGUCUCUGUUUGAGCAAUAGUUUGUGCUUUAAAAUUUAUUUUCUAAGCCUUUUCAACAAAUGCAUCAGAAAAUUUGAAAACCGUAUGGCGCUUAGUAACUUUAGAUCGCCCUGAGUUAUCUUAGCAUGAUCUGUUAGCAAUGGUCUUGAUAUUUUGCUGUUGGUUAUUACCAGUUGCAAUUUUUUUCGAGAUUGAAUUACCAGUUGCAAUUAUAUUCUAUAUGGAUUGACAAUGCUUUUUUUAAACAAGGCUAAAGACUUGCCAUUUUCAUUGAUUAAGAAGAAGAAAUUGCCCGGUUAAUUGGCGGAAAACCGGGCUAAAAACGAUACAAGAUCUCUGCGGUCAUAAUGGUUACUCCUAUGAUCCUAUCUAAUAUAGGCACUCAAAUUUUAGUGUAGUGUCUCUGUAUUUGAGGCAUGGUUCACAUGAGCAAUUAUAUGAAGUUUUGGUUCAGAGAGAAGAAACAUGGUUUUCUUCAAAAAAAAGAGGGUAAGAUCAGAUGUAGAAAAUAAAUUGAUAUGUUACCUGUUUAUUUGUCGGGAAAGCGCAAUUGUUGUUUGAAAGCAAUAAUUACUAAUCGUCAGCUGCAAACUAGUCCCUCCAUUGUCCAUUUGUCCUUGGCUGUUGCUUCUUGUCACAUUCUAAUGAUGGGCCUAGUGGACAAUAGUCAAGAACCAAGGUUGGGUUCGACAUUAUCUCACCAUCUUUGUGGUUUAAUUUGGCUGCAGGUCGUGGAUUAUGGAGUCCACAUGAUCUUAUAGAUGGACGAUGCUGGGCAAUUUCUUUAGAUCUUCUUGAUUUGUGGGAUACUUGAUCUUGCAACUCUGACUUGACUAAUAGACUAGAAAAUAUCUUAUUAACGAGGAGAGACAGGCAGCAGCGCAACAAGGAUUAGGGAAAGUAGCAGCAGCAGCAUGACUCUGCAUAGAAACAGUUUCGAAAAAGCUCGAACAACAAUGAGCUUGUUUUAUUUGCUGAUAAGGCUACAUAAUGUGAUUUCUCUAUCACUGAGCAUAAAAUCUUGUUUUGCAGUACACUAGAAACUCAAGAUGUCACAGCAAUGGUUGCAUAGAUUAGGACACUAUAAUGAAUAGUGUGAUUUUGAGUAUUGUAUAUAUCAUAUGUUAUUUAGUGACUUAGUUAUGCUUGAAGAGAGUAAUGGAGCCGAGUCUCUGUAUACUUUGUAUACACAAGUACAUUUGCUUGCUGGUAGAGAAUUUCAUGUAUGACAUGUAUGAUUAAUGCUACAAGAUGCAAUAAUGUAAUUAUGUUCUUGAAUUAUUAUUAUUAUUCUGAAUGUUUGGAACUACUGAUUUUUAUG